UAGGAAAGCUAACUAGUCUUCGCACAUUAGAGUUCUUUAAUGUGUGUCCAGAGAGGGGUCGGGGAAUUGAAGAGCUGGGAAGUUUAAAGAAUCUUGGGGUAAGCUAGAGAUACGUAAUCUUGAACAUGUUAACAGCAAGGAGGAAGCUAAGAGGGCAGACCUAUCUGGAAAGAGAAAUAUACGUGAAUUGGAAUUUCUGUGGAAGUGGAACUAUGAUUGGGAAAUUGACAACAAUAUUGGGGGGAUAUCUUGGAAGGCCUACAGCCUCAUCCGAAUUUGAAAAUCCUUACAAUCAAGAACUUCAUGGAUGAGUUUCCACCUUGGGUAAGGAGAAUAGCUUCACUAGGAUUUGAUAAUGUUGUCCAAAUAAAAUUCUUAGGCUGCAAAAGAUGCAGAGAAAUUCCAUCACUGGGACAACUGCCAAAUCUCCAAUAUCUUGAAUUGAAUGGAUUUGAUAAUGUAACACACAUUGGGCCUUCAUUCUAUUUUACUAAUAAUCACAGUGAAUCUAAUAGUAGCGGCAAUGAUUAUCAUGGAAGAACAUUGUAUCCAGCACUGAAAAGUCUCACCAUAGAAGACAUGCCCAACCUGCUGGAAUGGAUGGAAGCCAGAGUCAUGUCAACUGUAACCGCAGCAGAUUUCCAAGUUGCAGUAUUUCCAAAUCUCAAGGAGCUGACCAUUAACCGUUGCCCCCAGUUGAAUUCUGCUCCAAGCCAUUUUCCACGUCUCAAGCAAUUAAGUAUGUCAAGCAUUGAAAGUGGCUUACUAUUGGAACGGAUUUGCGGAAAUAUGCUCACAACUCUAAAAGAUGUUGAGAUCAGACUUGUGCAUGAGCUCACUUCUAUUCCCCACCAGAUGUUGUACAAUAAUCGAAGUCUAGCAUCUUUGACUAUCAGCUCUUGUCACAGUUUAGAGCAUAUUGCUGAAAACUUGACUUGCUGCAGCCCAUGUCUCAGAAAGUUGGAGAUCAUCAACUGUGAGAAGUUGACCAUGCUGCCAGAAGCCUAUACUCCCUUCAGUCUCUAGAGAAUCUAAUUAUAUCUCAGUGUCCUAAUCUCACAUCACUUCCUAGCAUACAUGAAGAAGUAGAAGCCUUCACAUGUCUGAGAAGGUUGAAUAUUUCACACUGUGAUGGAUUGACCGUUGUUCCAAGUAAGAUAUUAUGCUACUGCAAGAAUCUAGGAUUCUUGGCAGUCUCUCAAUGUGCCAACCUCAUCUCCUUCCCGGUGGAAGAAUUGCAGCAAUUGGGAUGCCUCACGACCUUAUUUAUAUAUAGGUGUCCAAGACUAACUAGUUUGCCAAAGGGGCUUGGAUGUCUCACUAAGUUAAGGGAGUUAUGGUACGGUCCAUUUUCAGAUGGAGUAGAGUUUGAUGCAUUUCAAGCUAGUCUCCAUGGUCUAGAACAACUGCAGUCCCUUUAUUAUGUGGAGUUGUGUGGAUGGCUUCACUGGAACUCUAUACCUUACCAGCUUCAGCAUCUUACAGCUAUGAAAGAACUCUAUAUACAUGGAUUUGGGGUAGAAGCUUUGCCCGAUUGGUUCAGAUAUUUUCGAUCUCUUGUGUAUAUUGGGUUCUUUAAUUGCCAAAAACUGCAACGGUUGCCCCCAAGGAAGUCAUGCAGUGCCUAACGCACUUGGUUGAUCUCACAAUUGAUGACUGCCCACUGUUGGGGAAAGAUGUACAAGAAGAAGCACGACAGAUUCCGAGUUCCACAAGAUCUCUAACAUUGAGAGAAUCUAUAUAAAUCAAAAAAAGUAAGCUAUUCCUACCUCUGUAGCUUAACUUGUGUACAAGUAUCUCAAGUAAUUCUUAUUUUGACACACUGAUCUCUUACUUUGUUCUCAUAAUUAUGCAGGCUAGACCUGAAGGGCUGAAUAAUUCUUGUAUCAAUACUAUGUCUGUCUUGCGUUAGGUAAGAACCCUUCCUUAACUCUGCACUACAAAAUGAAACAGCUCCCUGUCAGGAAUUUAAAAAUGAAAAGUUUGAAUUCAUGCGUCUAGAAUUCUAUCAUUUUACCUUUCCUCAGUGCCUUCUUUGCCAAAGUCCGUUCUGCAUGAAUGGAUCACAUUGUUGUGGAGCUAUGCAUGAGGAAAACAGGAUCGCAUUGUUCACUAAAAUUUUUCAAAUUAUUUACUUGCUUUCUUGUGUACAGUUUAAGCACUAACUUGAAUACUUUAGUUGUUCUCGUACUAUUUCACAUUUGGAAAAUGGAUCAAGUUUAGCAAUUUCUCAUUCAUUUUCAAACUUGCUUCGAUUUCUGCUGUGUCUAGCGAGCAAAGUGGAUUAGCUCUUAUAUUACUGUACUCCAGUACUUCCUUAAAGAUGUCAGCAUUAGUUCACUGAACUUUAACAGAAUGGUUGGUUUUUUUAAUUUACUGCUAUUAUGCUUAAAUUUAGUCAGUUUGUUAAUGGGUGAAGGUUCUAAAUUUAGCAGAAAGCCUGUUAUGCAUAUCCAAUGGUAUUGAUGCUUGCGGCACACACGUAUCUAUAUUGUUUUUCCAUCUGUUCUAGCAAACCAGAACCUUGUUUUGAAUAUUACUCUCUUUGUUUGAGGCAUAACUAAUAUAUGCGCUAACUCCUUUUCCAACUUUUCUAAUCUCUUGGUUCUUUGUUCACCCCAUGUUUUCUUUACAAUAGUUAUAUUCUUCUUAUCAAGUAUGCUGUUCUACAUACUCUCACGUCUUGACUCUUUUGUAUCACAAAAAAGGGUAAGAGGAGAACUGAUCUGUUUUUUAUGUUUCAGGUUAUCUGUACAAGCAUUUGAAGCACCUAGAAAUAGUGUGUUUUUUUACUGCUUAUGCUCAGAAGAGAGAGAUGAUCAGUUGGACGUGUAAUCCCAGUGAUUUCACCAACUGGAUUAUCAGUUUCUUUUUGGCUUCAAUCAAGCAAUUUUAAGGCAAUAAUAAAGAGAUGUACAUGAUCGCAUCUGAAGGAAAUUUGGAGGGCUUGUGCUCCAUGCACCAUACUGCUUUUAGUUUUUCCUUGGAUCUUGAUUUAAUUGUUUGUUGUUGUGCCCUUUAUUUGGAAUGUACUUAGUUACUUAGCAAUAUUCAAUAAAGUCCUUAUUCCAUAGACAAUUACCGUGUGAAUUGCAACAAGGAACUUUGUACUCAAAUAUCAACAAACCACUUCUAGAGAACAUAAAACUCGUUUAACUUCUGUUAUUACCUGUAAAGCAAGAAAGAUAGUGCUGAGAUAUGUUGGACUCUGAGAAAGUGUUGAAUUCACUUCUCAUUUGCAAAUGAUUAGUGGCACUAUACACAUUGAUCACAAAAGUUUUUAGGAACAGCAAGGAAACUGUAAGCAUAUUGAUAUGAUCCGGAUCCCCCUAUUCUAAUCCAUGAAGAUUUCGCAUGCCCUACUCUAAACGCGAGUUUGGCAAGAGAACAUAACCUCAAAGCUAUUUGAUCCAAGUAAUUUGAUUAACUAUAUCGUACGUCAACAUCUCCAAGAAAAUGUUUGUCCAAUCGUUCAAUUUCUGCCAUGGACCCUGAAAUUGAAAGAAAGCAACUAUUCCAGCAGCUUCAGAAGGCAGAGAGGUGGCUCGAACCAAACCUGGAGAAAAGUUCUUUAAUGUAAUAUUGGUCUGCUUGGGUGUUGGGAACUCUGUUUCUGUUGCAAAGUUCUAUGUCUAGUUUUAAGUUCUGAAACCGAAAAAAAGAAAAAGGGAGGAGACAACUUGGGAUGACAUGCCUCAAGUUCAUUACCUUGCAAUGAGUUCACUUAAGGCUUAAUUACAUAUUGUCCCACCGUAAUUAGGGUCAAGAAGCAAAUAUCCCCUUGCACUUGACCUACUAAUUGCUGUUUAUGUCUACUAAUUAAAUGUAUGUGGCCCUCAUUGUUAGAAAAUUGUUAAAUGAUCCUUUUUCGUUUUUAUUUUUAUUUCUUGUUCAUCUUUCGAGUGUUAUAUUUAGAUUUCUUUUUCCUCCUUUUCCUUUUCUACUACGAUAUGUAAUUUUGAGAAUAAUGUGCUAAAGAAUUUCUUUUUGUAGUACUUAAACAUAUAUUCCCUCCAUACCAUAGGCUCAUUUUCUUUUUGUAUCUGUUCCAAAUUAUAUGCUUAUUUCCUUUUCAAAAAGGUAGUUAGUUUAUCAAUUUACUAUUGUGUCGAUAUUUAAUGCGUAUUGUUAUCAACAAAAUAUACUACUCCAUUAAACAAUUGUUCUUUUAAUAGUUACUAAUAAAUACAAAACUGAAACUAGUAUUAAUGGAGGCUAUAUGGGCAAAGUAUUAGGCAAAAAUGAUUAUAUUAACUUUAAUAUCUCACAUUUCUGAAGUUGUAUGAAAGAAGUAGUCGGAAUAUUUUUUUAUGAGAUAGAGGAAAUAUAAAAUAUUUAACUACCAUAAAUUAUUAUAAGCAAUUAGAAUGUGUAUAUUUUGUAUAGAUAAUUUAAUAUAUAAUUCCUAUUUCCUUCGAUAGUUUCUUAUUAUGCAAUAAAUGUUGAUAAAACUUUUUUCGUUUUCUAAUGCAAAAAUGUUGAUAAAAAUGGUGAUGAUGCACUAGUAUGCAUUAAUUGUUAAUAAAAAUAAAAAUUAAUUAAAAUACUAUUACUAAACAUACACUUUUUAAUUUCUUGUGGUCUUUGAUUUUUCUAACCAAAUACCAUAGGAGAGAAAACAAGAUAUGUGGCUACCUUGUCCUCAAGGGUAUAUAGUAAAUGACAAAGUGUUCCAGUGUUUCUGAAACAUUGUCCAUUUCAGCUGGCAUUCUAUUACAUUUGAGGUUUCUUUAUGUAUCACAUUGAUGAUGUUAUUGGAGAAGUUACUCAUAUAGGAUUUACUCAGUCCAUGAUUAAUUGCAGACUAAACUCUUGGGAGACGCCAAGAGAAACCAAUGAAUCUACAUGGUUGCCGGAAAAUCACUUGUCUACAUCAAUUAUGUUGAACAAACUUUAAAAAAAAACAAACACUUUUAGGAUAUUUAGUGCAAGAAAAAACAACACUGAACACAAGAGCAUGAGAACACGAAGAAACAAAGCAAAAUCAAGAUAACCAUACAGCUUGAGAGAUCAAAAAAAGGACUAAUUAAGCAUGCAAGGCACAAAUUAAAUACAAGCACUAGUCAGGAUCCAUAACCUCACAAGUUUGAGUUAUUGUCCAGUUCAAAUCGGCCGUAUAAUUCUUAUAACACUUAAUGUAAACUAGCACAAUUUUGAUGUAAAACUUGAGUUUAGUAAAUAAUUAUAUUUGUAAAUAGAUCGUGAUUACCCUAAAAUUAUACGAGUUUACAUCAGAUGCCAUUAAAUUUACACAACUGGUUUGAACAGGUGCUUGUGAGGCCCUAAAUCCGACUAAUUGUAGUAGUACAAAUUGGGAGCUGAGCAGAGAAGCUAGUUCCAACUUCCAAAACAUUGUACUCCAUCAAUCAUAUGUAAUGUUUCUGCUCUUGUUUCUCUUGUCCUCAAGGACGAACCUUCACUGAGGCAUACAUCCCGUAUUUACAGGCUGCAGGUCUCACGGACUGGAAAAUGAAACUACCUGGCUUGCUAAGAGUAUAAUAAACAUCUCCCGUCUUGUUUUCUUUUCGGGUUCCUGCAAUGGGCGGGCCACAAGGUACCUUGGCUUGGACCACCCCAUAAAAAAUUCGACUGUAUUUAAAAUCUGCCAAAAAAAAAUUUUGAAGUAAAAAUAAGCACAAAGAGAGCAAAGGGUUUCCAUUUACAUCUAUAUUUACAGCUAAGUGUAUAGUAUGAUUGAUUGAGAAAUUUAGAUGACUGGGUAGUCUGGGAUCUUACGCAGUUUAUCACCAGGCUUGCAAGUAAGAACUUGUCUCCAUUGGCCAAGUUUAGAUGAUCUCCAGUCGAUUGUGAAUUCUUUUGCAGGAUUCGGGACGGAGAAAAUCAAGAUCAAGAGGGACACACACAUGAAUUUGGUGGCAGAAAUACAGAUACUUGCCAUUGCUAUCAGUAACUAAAAGGGCCGAUCGAUGGAGUUGUAAUGAGGAUGUGAUUGAUUAGGCUGGGGAGGAGAUAAGAGGUGGAGAAGCAUGCAUGUCUGAUAUAUAGGUAGAUUAUUCAUGUACAAGUAGGCUUCACCAGUUGACUCGAUUGCGCACAUGCAUGAGAAUACUCUCUUUCGAUCAGUUGAAUCUCAAAAAAGGAUAAUAUGAACAAAAAAAAAUGUUAGAAAACUCUACACUAAACUAUAGACGACUUGUAUAACAGAUACAAACUAAAUCAUGAUCUGCCAUCUUGAUUUUAAGAGAUUCAUGUUUGUAUCUAUCAUUUGUAUAUAUCAUGUUUUUUUAUCACUUUUUUUAGGUGAACUCAUCCAAUGAUUUAUGUCAAUCUAGUGAAUCUCGAAAACUAGCUGACUCUAUUGUGAAACAAUAUAGAAUUAAUGCGUAGACCUCCAUGUUUAAUCAAAACCAAUAGAUGGAACUCUAGUCCUUCCAUAUAAUCAGACACAUAUGCAUUACACUCUCUUCUCCUUCAAUCUGAUAUGAAGGAAAGAAAUUUACAGUUGAUCACCUUAACAAGUACUAAUAUUUCAAAAGUGCGAUCACAAAACAAAGUGAAAAAGUGCAGCUAUUCAAGUAAUUUUUUAAACGAUUCUUGUUAUCCAGACCUGACAAAUAAUAAAGCAAGUCAACAAAGUUAGUUAAACAACCACGAGGAUCAGUAUCCGAUCAUUGCGCGUCAAAUCAUUUGUUUAAUAUUUCAGUUUCAUCAUGUAACAUUUUAUUUUAGUUCUCAGGUGCCAAACAGAUUGAUAAGAGAUGUGAUGUAUGUGAUGUUAUGGGAAGGUAAAAUGGCGUAUUGAAAUUUGUGUCUACGAUGUAAAUAAAUUGUUUUUUCUCAAAUUACUCCAAUCCAAACACUAGUAUUAUGUUUUGCAUCUUGUAACUGAAGUCGAAGUCAUUACUGGCCAGGCGUUUAGCCUAGUUAGAAGCAAAUCACUUGUUCAUAUUUCAUAAAAGCAAAAGCAAAGUCUUAGAUCAAUAGUAGACAUCUGAAGUGCAAGAAAGUUUUUUAAAAACCAAAGAUAAAAAUUUGAGAUAAAAUCAAAAUUUUGUAUUGGAUGCAAAUUCGUGAGGAUAAAACCAAAAUUUUAUGAUUGGCUCAUUAUUAUUUUUUUUUUGUCAAUAUAGGCUCAUUGUUAUUUUUAAUUUGUGUGCUCAUUAUGUGUUUUCAGGACACAGAUAGGACUAUCAAUGGGUCCCACCAUUUAGUUAAAAAAUAAUUUAAAUGAUUCUUGUAAUUGAAACCCAAAAAAUAAUAAUGUAAGUCAACAAAUUUAUUUAACUAACCUCGAGGAAUGGUGUAUGAUCAUUGAGAUUGUACCAAUUUUAGUUUUAGUCCCACUUAUCACGUGAGCAUAAAGAAAAUUUGAAUUAAACCAAAUCAAUUUGAGUUAUUAAAAAAAAUUAAAGAGUACAUGACAAUUUAAAUAAACAAAACACAUUUUUUUGUCUUGAAAUAAACAAAACACUUGAUAUAAAUAUGAAUGUCGCACUGAAUUACUACUUACCACUAAAAAGUGGCACGGAUCCCAUGUGCAGAUAGGACUAUCAAUGGGUCUGGCCAUUUAGCUAGAAAAUGAUUUAAAUGAUUCUUGUAAACCAAACCCGAAAAAUGAUUAAUGUAAGUCAACAAAGUUAUUUAACGGGUCCGGCCAUUGCUUAACAUUUUCGUUCGAUGUUAUCUCAAAAAAAAAAAAAAAAACCAAUGGCAGAAGUUAUCAGUUCUUCUAUUCUGUGGCUUGAGGACAUAGGAUAAAAUAUUUGCCCCACAUUUUUUUAUUAUAAAAAAGUUUUAUUUUACUUAGUUAUAUUGAAUACAAUUUAGGGACUUGGGGUAAGAUCAAAAUUUUAUUGUAUGCACGAUUUCGGGAAUGAGGAUUAAAUCAAAAGUUUGUGAUAGACUCAUUGUUUUUUUAAUUAAUCAAAAUGUAGGAGGAGCCUUCACCAGUUGCCUCAUCUGUUGAAUGUCAACAAAUACAUUAUGUCUACAAAAAAUAAUUUCAAUCCACUUUAAAAAAAAAUCUAUGGUGAAAUAAUAAUCAUUGCCUAGAAAUGCCAUCUUUGUCUAAAUUAAUUAUGGACCCAAAUGCUAAUACUCUCUUGUCAUUAAUCGAAAUAUGAAUUGCAAAAAAAAAAUUACACUUGAUCACCUAAAUAAGUACUAACAUUUUACAAAUUUGUCCACCAAAAGAAAAAAGAAAAUAUGGAAAAGAAAACUACAAAAAUACAGCUAGGAUAUUUUAAUUGUAAUUCAAGCCUGAAAACAAAUAAUCCAAGUCAACAAAGCUGUCUAAAUAAAUACAAGGAACAUUUUUCUCAUUGUGUCUCGAAUCGUUUGUUCGAGAUUUUAGUUCCUGCAUGUAACAUUAUUUGGUUCCAAAAAAAAAAAGAAAAAAAAAAGAAAGGACAACCACCAUUAGUAUUCCAAAUCUUUAGCCUAGUUUGAAAGGCAACAAAUUUGAUCAAGUGAUAGUUUAAAAGCAAUGUAUGAGCAGAAUAAUCUAUAAAGUGCAAGUACGUUGUUUUUGCAUUUUGACAAGGAUGGCUGAAGCACAAAUCAAGAAGUCAAGUUUGAAGGUUAAGGUGAAUUGUUCAUGUUGUCUUGGCUUUGUUUGUUGUUCAUCUGUCUUUUGGCGAAAUAUUUUGGAAAGAAAACUUAUGCUUUGAGUUUAACUGUUUUUCUUGAAAGCAAUAUUCUCUAUUGUAAAUGGACCUUAUUUGGAUAUGGUGACCUACAUGUAUUAUUCAAGUUGUGGAGUUUUUCCUGUAGAAAAUAAAUCUGAAUAUAUAUAUAUAAAUAUAUAUUUGAAUUACAUUUAGAAUAUGGAUAGAAAAAAAAAGUUAAGAUAUUAUUUGUAUCACUAAAUUGCCUAAUCUUAUUCAAUAGAAAUAACACUUUCAUUUAAACCAUAUCUUGGCUAUUUAACAUGAUUUUAAGGCUUUUGCUUUUUCCAUUUUCUUCAAAGUUUUUUGCCAGAAUAAUUACCUUUGUUCUCGAAAAAUAUUCACACAAUAACACAAUGCGAAUCCUAUACCCUUACAUGGACUUUUGACAGGUCAGAAAGGGAAUGUGAUUUUAAAGUUUAUUAUUAUGAAAAUAUCUUUCAAUGACAAAAUUGUUUUAGAUGCAAACUCUUUUCUUCAUGAUAUGCAAGUGAGAUUAACUUUUUUUUUCUGCUCCUUUUGUGAGUAAUAUAUCUGUAUACUUGUAUUGGGUAUAAUUAUAAACUAUGAUGGUUAUUCUUAAUUACAAUCUAAUGAAUAAUGAUGGAAGCAAACUACAAUUUCUAAUUGAAGUGUUUUUUUUAUUGUUAUUCCAAAUGUUAGUUCCCGAGUGCAAUGCAUAUAUAAUGUUAUGAAUUAAAGAAAUAAGAUUUUACUUUAAUUAGUUGACAUUAUUCUCUAUGAUUAGUUCUUCGAAUGCUUUUUCCCCUUUUGAUUUACACUUGGGAUUUUAUUUGGGUUUUUUUUUCGUGAUAAAUGUGAUUUUUUGUUCAUAGAAUAAUAAUAUAAGAAAUUGUUUUUGCUAAAAAAUUUGGAUUUCCAUUUUGGUAUAACCAAUUGGGCUUAAGUGGAGAGCUCCAAAAUUAUUAUUAAUUAGUUAAAAGAUCAGCACUUUCGUCCAAUAACCGAUCGACCUUACAUGAAAAGGACCAAAAUCUUCAUUAGUUAUUGAAUAUUUUGCUGACCGAUCCUGGAUUAUUUCUUUAAUGAUUUGGUUUAAAAAGUUAAAAGCUCUAACUUUCAUUGUGGAAAUCGUUUAUUACUUGAUUGUAUAUAAUAUGAAAAUCUUCAAAUCUUGAUCAUAACAACAUAAGUAAAAACACAUUUUUUUUUAAAAAAAAGUUACAUUAUUCCAUGCAAGGCACUAGUCUACAACUAGUCAUUACUUUAUAAAUUUCAUUAUUGAAUAAAAAAUUUUGGCUUAAUUUUCUAUACACUGACAGUGUAUACACUUUCACCAUUAGAUGUAUGACAUAUAAUCCAAAUUUAACCUUAAAACUCAAUUUUUGCAUAUGUGUCGUAUAUCCAACCGUGAUAGUGUAUACACCGUCAGUGUAUAUAAAAUUUAUUCAAAAAUUUUUGCCAUUAAAAGAAAAGGAAAAUAUUAAUGAUAUUCUUCAUUUAUUUUUUUUAAUGAUUUUUAUACUAAUUAGAAAAGAUGAAAAUGCCCAUACUUUUCAUUUGAAUUCCAAAUUUUAUGAAAGUAAAUGUCGUACAUUCAACAAGAAUACGUGUAUUGUUAUCUAAUUCACAUGCUAAAAAAGACAAACUGAGUGCAAUUAACAAAUAAGCAAGGGUAAUUAAAUAUUUCUCAAAGCAAAAAUCCUACCUAUUCCUAGUUUGGCAAUCCAAGAGAGGAAUGAAAAGAAGAGAAACCUUGAGUUAGAGAAGAAUUAAAGGUCCUAGAUUUUAAUCUCUUUUCUCCUCCCACUUCUAAAAUCACUUCUUAGAAAAAAUUUAUAAAAAAAAGUUUAAGAAAAGAAAAAAAGAGUAGUAAGAGGAAAAAAAAAAGUUCCUCUGUGUUGUUUGGAAGAUAUACAAGGAAAAGGGUUGUUAAUUGAUCAAAGUUAAGAAUGGUUCGAUUAUCAAAUAGCAUUCCUUCCCUGUAAAAUAGGAUACAUUAGAUUAUAUAAAUGAUACCGUUGUCAAAAAAAAAAAAAAAUAGCAUCCCCUUCCCCUACGCCGCCCAUCCCUCGCCGCCAUCAUCCGUGUCACCCAUCCACGGGCGCCCGCAGGGCAACUUCAUUUAUUACCAUUACUAACUGAUGCUAUAGUCAGCUGCCAUUACUACAGUACUACAAUUGCUAAUGACAUUAGUAGUGAUACUAUAAUUAUAUUACUACCACUGAUGCUACUAUUGCAAUUACAAUUCCUAGUCUAAUAAUGUCCAUCUAUUUACUAAUAUCAUCACUACUAUACUAUUAAUGGUAAUCCUACUACUUCUGCAAAAGUCUAGCCUAACAUAACAUGGAAAAGACUAAAAGAAAAGAUAGAAUUAACAUCUUGUAUACACUGUCAACAUAAUAAAAUUAUACACAAAACUAAUUAAAAACAAUUACAGGUAAAUAAUUAAUAUUUUAAUUGUAAUUAGAACUAAUUUAUGAUUACUAGUGAUAUGUAAAAUUUUUAUCUUUUACUUAUUUAAGUGAUACAAGGGAUAGGAGAGGCCCAUUUAAGGUCGGGAGAGAAAAAUCCCUCUUAUUAGAUGCCCUCACGAUACCUUUUUUUAAGUAUAAAUCGUAGGUAUCCGCAUCCGUUCUGCUUUAUGGUUUGUGACUAAUUUUGUUUGAAUUGGAUUGAUCCUCUUGUUGGGAGAAGUUCUUCCAACAUUUUCUUUACCAUUCCUAUGGAUUUCGAACCCUAGAUCUCAUGGUUAUAAGAUGCAAGUCCCUUCUCCUGCUACUAAAGGUGGCAUUGAGCGGGGGGACCCGUCUCGUUGUUAAAUAACUCCCCUCGUCUCCAGUCUCAUCUCCCACUCCAACCCCGCUCCCGUUUCUCUCGCGGGGAAUAAAUCAAUAUAUCAAUCUACUCAUCCUAUUUUAUGUUUAUUAUAUAUACACAAUUUGUUAUCCUCUGCGGAGGAAGAAAUCAACUUACCAUAUUUAACAUAUAUUUGAGAGGCAAAUAUCGAGAUUGUAUUUUAAAUGACUGCACGAGAUGGGACAAUUUGAUCAAUAUGCCUCUCACACGGGACAAUUUGUGUAUAUAUAUGUAUUAUAUAUACAUCUAUAAAUUUAUAUGUAUAUAUAUAUAUAUAUAAUUUUUUAUAUGCUGGGAUGAAGCAAGUGUAUGUGGCCCCCGCCCCGCUCCAUUUCUAUCCGCUCGGGCACCCGCCCUGUUGCCAGUUGCCACCCUUUGACGCUGCAUUGGCACCCAUUGCCUUUCUAGUCAAGGUGUGAAAGUCCAAUGGGUAACUGUGAUAAUUCAAAGCAAUUAAGUCUAAACUUUCUUUUCUCUUCUUCAUUUCUUUCGAUCCGAACUAGCUUGGCUAGUAGAAAAAGAAGCAAACACGGUAACAAAUCCUUUUUCGUUGUCCUUAAAAUUCGGUUAUCGGUUUCAGACAAAAGUCCCAAACAAACGAACAAAUCUAUCCCUAUUUCUAUUCAUAGAUUUAGAUUUCCCGUUUCCUCGUACACACACUCACUCACCAACUGUGUCUUGUGUGUGAGAGAGAAUUAUGGCAUCAGCGAUGAAGAUUGUUUUUGGGCUCCUCACAUUUGUCACUGCCGGAAUGAUUAUCGGUAUCCAAUCCUAAUACAUUUCUUCCACAGAUAAUUCGUUUUUCUCUUUUUUUUUGUUCAUGCUUUACCUAUAUAUAUUUGUGAAUUUAAAUUAUAUAAAAGAGAAAGAAAGAUGCAUUGGAAUAAGAGUUCUAUUAAGCAUCUUGAUCUAAUUGGCAUAGGCAUUGUUGAAAUGGGAUUCUACAUUUGAAUGCUGGCAAUGUUAUGGGAAUUGUUGAGAUUCAGAUUUGAUCUAGAGAUACUAAUUUUUGAAAUGGAGAUUAAAGGGGCAGAUGUGAAAAUGGGAUUUUUGUUCUCUAUCUAAUUCUGUUAGUUUACAAUCAAGGACAGGAAUGGCUGACAAUUUUACCAUAACGGAGUUGUUACACUGAAACAUUAUAGAAGGGACUUUUCUUUUUUUAUAGUUAGAAGUACAAAUGGAGCCUGACAUUGGAAUGUUAGAUGAAAAACAAGAAAUAAGAACUGGUGGCCUUUUAUUUUGCAGAUUCCUCUAAACUAUCUGGACAAUUCUUUAGGAGUUGUGGAAUGAAAUUUUUGACUGGAUCAUUAGUUAGAAAUACAGGUAAAUUUACACUUGUGAACCGUGUGAUGAUCUUAAAGAUUCCAAAUUUUUUUACUGUUUAAUAGGAGUGAUAUGCUUUUGGUAUGCAAUUUUGGAUGUGAACUAACAUAAACAUAAUCCCAGAAAAAUUGGAAAAUGUGUUGAAUUUAUAUGUAUUGAGUACCCCAUGUUUAAUCACUUGCCCAAUAUUUUAGAGAUUUCUUCCCAAUUUGAUCAUUGGGAUAUGGACUAUAUAUCAGCCUACUUUGAAAUGAUCAAUUUGUUGAGCUUUUGGGUUGGAUGGAAAUCUUGUGAAGUUGUUAAUUGUAUAUCAACAUUCUUUAAAAUGAUAAAAAUGAUGACCUUUUGGAUAGGACAUAAGUCUGAACUAAGCCAGUUGUGAGGUUGAUGACUUGGCAAUUUAUUAUUAUUAUUAUUAUUUUGGUGUUUACUUAUUGUGCUUAUAUGUAGAUUUCAAUAAGAGAUUAGAAAAUGUACAUGGUUGUUUUGUAAGGAUUGGUUUUUUUUUGGUAAUGUUUUGCUAAGGUGUAAUAAUGAUGUUCAAUAAUUAAUUGUGCAGGUGCGCUAUUACAGUUGUCAUUUAUUCGAAAGUUGGAAGAUUCAUAUGGUACAUUUUUUGAUGCUCUUUCAAGCAUUUUAAUAUCAAGGCAUUCUUUUGAAUUGGUUUGUUUACAGCAUGAUUUUAUAUCUUGACCUAUUGUUAACUGCCUCAUCACAUAUUUCUUUUCUAACUUCGUUGUCUUAAUUUUAUCAUCUUUUUUGGCAAAACUAUGAGAAUUAUACAUUUACUGCUAAAAGGUGUGAAAACGUAGGUUCCUUCUGGUGGUUUGUUCAUCUAUUGUUCUUGGCAAAUGGUCCUUUUGCUUCAAAGAUUUUCACACUUACUCUUAACUUUUCUGCUUACCCCAAAUAGAAGUGAUGAGAUGAAAUAGUUAACAAGCUACCAUCCAAAUUAAGACAUGGAUUUUGAGAUGCAGCAUACUUGUCACUUUAACUAUGACAUCAGUUGACUGAUUUCUGAAAGAAAAGGCAAAGGUGAAUAAACCAAAUCUUUAGCUUCAAGUACCAAUAUCUGCUAGAUCUAAGUCAUUGUUUCAGGAAAGUCCGUAUACUUGAUGUGACUAACAUGUGUGAGAACCACUCGUUCUGUUCUAUUUUUUCUGAUUCAAGUGUCUAAUACUCAUCGAAUGUUAUUGUUAUGUGGUCUUAUUUUACAUUCAUAUAGUUUAACGGCUGAUAAAAGUCAUUUAUUUAUUUUUAUUUAGAAAUGGUUUCCUUCUGAAUCCUCUUCAGUUUCUAUACAAAUAUUGAACCUCGCAACUGUAACUCCUAGAAAAGCCUGUCACUCUGUGUGGUGGCUAUGCUUGACUGCAUAAGUCUUGAAGCUAAAAUUCACUUAAACCACCUAGAUGGCUACUUUAAUUAACAACCACUUUGCCAAGUGUAAGAACUGAUAUUCAAAGCAUUGGAUAAUCUUUUAUUGGAAUUUGGUGAUGUUAGCAACUUUUUAGAGACUGAUAUUUGUCAGCAAAGUCACAUCCUUAAAGUUCAUAAUAACUGCUAGUCAAAACAUAACAUGAAUUCAGUACCGGUUCUAUUUCAACUUCCCCAAAGCUAUUUGAAAAGGUUAGGCUUGGUAUUUGUGUUGUAAAAUAGUAAAUUGUGUAUGUAAGAGCUGACCAGUGCUUCUAGAGAAUAUAUGCAACAAUGCAAUGCUCAGAUUCCUUAGGAUAAUGCUUCUAUUCUGCGUGUGGAUUAAACUAAGUAGUAACAUCUAUCAACCUUGAUUUGUAAUUAAUGUGCAUUCAAUGGUAUUAUGCUUUUCUUCAUAGGUUCUGAAUCCUCCUUUAGAAGAACACUUGGAGGUCGGAACAGCGGCAGUGGUCAACUGGGAAGAGGUUCAUACUUUUUUUUCCAAUAAAGUCUGAAAAUGGUAUUUUAUGUUGUUAUGCACAGCAACCCAUAGAACUCUCCAAAUAGCACAUGAUAUGAUAUGUUUUUCUUGCUUAUUUCAUUGAGUAAGUAUGAAAUUGUACAAGUUCGCAGUUUGCUUAAGCAUGUUUAUACUCAACCCCCAGCUCCCCAAGAAGAAAAUGAAACCAUAACAAUCUCAACCAUCAAUAUGGUUAAUGCAGUAAUUCUGCGAUCCAUAUGGAACCAUUAAUGACAGAGCUUAACAUGCAUAAACUUACUGCUACACAACAUCCAUAUGACAGGAGACAAGUGUCUCAUUAUGCUUGCGCUGUCCUUUGACAAACGAUGAGCAGAAGGAUUUCACCUUUGCUCUUGAAGAAAUCUCAAUUAUCAAUAUGGUUAAUGCAGUAAUUCUGCAAUCCAUAUGGAACCGUUAAUGACAGAGCUUAACAUGCAUAAACUUACUGCUACACAACAUCCAUAUGACAGGAGAUAAGUGUCUCAUUAUGUUUGUGUUGUCCUUUGACAAACUGUGAGCAAAAGGAUUUCACCUUUGCUGUUGAAGAAGUUGGAUAUAAGCCAGUGCACGUGAUUACCUGUUCUUUCAUCUUUUAAUUUUGUUAUUUCCUGCUUUGAUGAAAAAGUGCUCUUUUUUUCCCUCCCCCCUCCCAAUUUCAGGUUAUUCUCAUUGGGCUUAUGACAAAGAAGCUGUAACUUUACGUAUUGGAUAUGUAUGCUUCAAUCUUUUCUUGGAUAUGCUUAACCGAAUUUUGGUCUCUGCCCCUGUACUGCAUGCAUGUUAAUUUGAAAUUUGAUUACCACAAAAUUGCAGAUCUUACAAGCAAGAGCUAGAAAUUUGAAAUAGUUAAAAUAAAACUAAAAUAUAGGUUUGAGGUUUUUGUCUGAUGUUAUAUGUUAUGCAUCCUCGGAAGUUUAAAUUCAUGAUAAUAUGUGGCACAUUUAUGAAAAAAAUCCUAUAUUUCCAUAUGCACUUUGCACUUUUUGAUACUUGUUUAUGGAACUUUAGUUUACACGCAUUGGGUAGGGCUUUGUAUGUGGAACCUAUUACCCACCAUUUUUUAAAAGUAUUUUUACCUUUUUCUUGCUCAUGUGAGUCAAAUUUCUUAGAUUUGAUUUACCAAAUUUCUUGAAUGAGAAUUUAUGAUGAAUAUGACACCAUUUCAUUCUAGGCAGAGGGAAAAAAUUGUACUUUAAGCAAGUUGAAGGUGGAAAUUUGGUAAUUUUACAGUUGGGUCUAAAGUUUUGUACUUUCUUUCUCUUCUAAUUUACUGAGAAAUGGAUCCACUAAGGGCUCAUGGAGUAUGAAGGAGAGGUUUUUCAUUGACAUUUUAGUAUCUUUGCUGGACUCUGGAUAGAGAAACUUGGCUGGCAUAUUGUGGAUGAAUACUUAGCAGUUCCUCUUUCAUUUCGCUCCUAAAACUUCCAUUGUGUGGAAAUAUACCUUUGCUAGAUUGGGGAGACACUAAUCACUUGUGGUUAAGGUGAAGAUAUAUUAUACAUGUUCUUUCCCCAUCUGGUUGAGUGAAUGAUACCCUCCUUGAUGAUGCUUAGUAGUUGUCUAGCUUUCAAGGCAGAGAUAAGGCAUGGUUUUCCAAGAUUUCAUCUUGCAAGAAGUUUAAAGAGUAACAUUAUUUUGUUGAGCCCUCUACAGAGACUUUCAGUCUAUGUUGGGCUGGAAGAUUUCUUAAAAGUGGGUGUUUUUGGUUGCACUUUCUGCCAGAGGGUCUUUGCAUUCUUCCAGUGCAUGCUUUACAAUGGGAACACGUCAGUCGGGUGAAUUCUCAUUUGGGAGUGUAUUGGAAAAGAAGUUGCAGAUAUCGUUUCAAAUUGCUGUUGUAGAUUCUAGUGACAAAUUUAUUCUAUAUUUGUCAUACUUAAUUUGCAAAGAAUAUAGGUUCUUGACAAGGCCACUUAAGCAACAUCAGUUACUUCUUUACUUGCUCUUUCAAACAGAUGAGUGAAGUCAGAUUUCAAUUUUCUACUAAUUGAAUUUUCUAAACCUCAGUCAAGGCUGCUAAACAAGCAUAUAAAGCCUGCCUCACUUCACCAUUGCCUUAUCUAUCCACCAUUUCUGAAGAUUGAAAUAAAUCAUCUCACACUUGAAGUGAUGGCAGACGCAGAUGGUCACUGCAGACAGACUGAGGAAAAAAAAAAUCGUUCUCGUCAUUCAGCUUUCUGGGUUUUGGAUAUAAUUAUGUUUCAUGUGGAUCCUUGGUUUUUGGAUGACUUUGUGUAUUGUCUCUUGUUAGAUCCAUUUUUAGGAGUGGGAUUUGGACAGUCCUUUGUUUAUGUUGACUUCAUUUUCACCUACAAUACUUCAAACGGAGUUGCACUUGUUGAGUGCAUUCUCAAGAUUGAGAAGACCUAUAAAGAUGCAAGAACCCCUCUGCCAGAAUUGCCACCAGAAACACCCCAAGUUCAAAUGUUUUAUUUAUAUAUCACAAAAUUAGAAAUAUCUAGUAGAGUUUUUGAUGAUCUUUGAGGCAGUAGACAUAGCUUGUGCACGAGCAGAAAGCUCUUUCACAUAGGUUGUUGAUCUUUGUUUUGCAAACCUUUCAGUUGCACAAAACUUGUGCACCAUCUGGAAUGUCCAGUUUAUGAGCUAAAUGUUGGUAAUUAUGGUAUACUGGAAUUUCUAUUUGUAAUCUUGACCUGAGGAUUUUCGGGGCUUGUGGUCUAAUGAUUUGUGGUGAACUUUAAACUUAAGCAAAGGCAUUUGAAGAGUAAAAUGAUUUAUUUAGAGGUAUCAUUUAAGGUUUUCAUAUCAUCUCUCCUUCUUAUGGAAAGCAAGGGAAGCCUAACAACUUAAAACCUUAAAUGCUAAGUUUUACGUGCUGUGCAACAUACUUGCUUUUCUGAAAUAAGCUGUUCCAAGAUCGCCUAAUAAGAAAUUUAAGUCUCUUUUUUCAUUGAUGUAGGUCAAACCCGAAAUAGUUAGCUGGUCACCACGAAUCAUAUUGCUUCACAGCUUCUUAAGUCCAGAGGUAAUGUGACUUAGUGUUAAUUUUAUUUUCUUUUAUCUGUGCUCUAAAUUGCCAUCCUAUUGCUCUCUAUGUCAUUUCUUACUAGAGAUUAUGACUCUUGAAACUUACAUGCAAGCAACAUGUGACAGAAACAUAUAAAGACCAUUUAAAAUGAAAUUAAUUUGGAAAAAUGAAUAAAAGAUGGCAUAAGGUCGUUUCUCACCAUAAACAUGGUUAUCACUUUUUCUCAUUCUUUGUGGUUUAUCUGCAUUUUUACAUUAGUGCAAAGGUAUUUGGCAUGUGCUGAAUACAAAACUGCUGCUUGUUUGCACUGCAUAGUGAUGGAAGGACGUAACUGCUGUCCUUAAUCUGUGCUUUCGAGCUUUCCAAUGACAUCAGUCAUGAAAUAGGAAUAGUGUUAUGCCUUUGAAAUGCCUGCAAGAAUUGUCUCAUCAAUAAGAACUUAGGCAUUGUCAUUGAUUGGUGUGAGCUGCAAACCUGAUAUGUCAGUAAGCUUUUAAUUUUUUUGAAAGAUCUUCAACAUUUGAGUCUUAUGCAUAGACAGAUCGAUGUUAUGAUAGAUGAUGGUCCUUUUGUAUAUUUUGGCUUUUGAUGUUUGAUCUAUUUGCCUGAGUUUUUUGCAUUCUUUUCCGUUCAAUCAAGUCUUUAGAAUUUUUAAAGAAUCUACGCAGGAAGAAUGAUUUCUUGCUCCUGUACAGGAAUGUGAUUAUCUUAGGGCUAUUGCACUACCUCGUCUUCAGAUUUCUACUGUUGUUGAUGCAAAAACGGGAAAGGUUUGUAGGAUAUGCAUCUCCUAUGCUGUUGUAGUGCUUUACAAUAAUUUCUUUCUUCUUAACUUAAUGUUGAAAUUUUGGUUAAAUUUUUGGCUGUUCAUUUGAGAGCUCUAAUCUAGUCUCAUAGGCUUCUGUUAAAGCCGCUAGGUUGAUGUCAUUGAUCUUGCACUUACUAUUUAGCUUUCUGCCAUAAACAGUAUUAUGGCAAUCUGAUAUCUUUAUGAGUUAGAAUUGUUGGCUUCCCCAUUUCUCUAGGUCUACUACACUUAAAAAAGAAUUUGCUGCUUAAGGAGUCAUUUGCCUUCAGAACAACUAAUUUUUGUGCUAAAGUUUGUACUGCCUUUUUUUUGGCAAAUAAUGCUAUACGUGUACCUAACACGAAUGUCUGCCAGUGCAAUUAUAUACUACUAGAUACUACCAAAUUGGUUAUAAGUGAUAGUAUUAAUACAUUCUGUAUUUAUCUUUUGUAUAAAUGAACAAAAUACCAGAUUUCAUGUCUCAUGGUUUUUUGGCAAUGAGCAGAACUUUGAUUCAGUGCAAAAGUCAUCUGAUAGCUACCAAGGCAUUUAGUCUCUGACAUCAUUAGUUCUCUCUGUGAAGUCGCAUAUUUCCUCACAAGUUUUUGUUUUCCAUUUUUUCUUCUUGCCUUUAUUCUUCAUGGGUCCUUUCAAGCAAUAUUCUCCUUUCUGAUUUUCUUCCUUUCAUCGGCAACGACCUAUUGUGGCCAGGAUGUGGAGUUUUCAUUGUUGAUGUUGCAUUUGCUUCUAUUUUUUGGCUGCAUAGAAAGUAUGUUAUGACCAGAAUUUGAAGUAGUUCAGUUACGCAAUGUUCCUGUCUAGUCUUGGAAUGUUGAAUGGCUUCAAAUUAAACACCGUAAGUGUCAAAUUAUAAACUAUCCACAGCCUAGGUUAAGGAGUCCUCUUGGACAGAAAUCAAAGCCUGAGACUAUGGUAGUCUAUAUCUCAAGCAUAGUCCCACUUUUUCUUUUUUCAUAAUUAUGGAGAUGGAGAACAUUAUGCUUAUGAAGUUUGAAAGAAGGAAUAAAAGACAAUGAUAUUGCCAGGGCAAGUUAUAGCUUCUCAAUAUUACUUAAAACAAAUUUCAUGCCAGAGAAAGGAAGAACGCCAUAAUAUAGACUUUUUUAUUGUUUAGAAAAGGAAGCUUCCUUGUGAUUAGAAGAGAUUAAGAUCACAGGAAUGCAGGCUGCAGCACCAGUGGAGAGAAGGCAAUGUAUGUGCAGAUCAUAUAGCCAAGCUUAGCCUGAAAUUGAGGCGAGGAGAGGAACAGCACAUGAUAAGCCGACAGACUCAAUUAGGAGUUUAUUAGCUUUUGACAUGAUUGGUACUAUUGACGCCAAGAUUAGUUCAGAUGUAACUGGUUUCCACCCUCCCAAGUACCCAAAAAGAAGAGAUUCAAAUAUAUUUAUCAAGAAUUGGGAAAUUCCAAUAGCUUCUAACUCACUAAAGGAAACUGAAGAAGAUUUAUCAAGAAUUGAGGGUUUUCAAGUUCUUAUGUCUUCAAAAUUGAAGCAAGUCAAAGUGAUUGCUUUCUCAUGAUGCCUGUGGUAGUCUUUAUUUUAGUCAAAGUGAGUGUUUUCAGUUCUUAUGUCUUCAAAAUUGAAGCAAGUCAAAGUGAUUGCUUUCUCAUGAUGCCUGUGGUAGUCUUUAUUUUAGCCACCUAAUAACAGUAGCAUUUUGUUUUGGGCUUGCUUAAUAGAAAAGAAGGAAAAAAGUAAAAGAAUUACAAUCAUGUUAAAGUAAGCUGUAGGGUUUUCUUCCGUAAAAGUUUUCGUUAACUAAGCAUGGUUUUCUAAAUAAAGCUUUUUUAGUACUUGGACUUUACUUGGAUGUGGACCGGUUUUCCAGUUUUUCCACUUCUGGAUGGGAAAUAUCUGACUUCAUGGGCACUGAUGCAGUGAAGUUUUCAAAGUGAAUGUGCUGCUGCCAGCACUUGAAUCAGUUGAAAAGUAUAAGGUUCGAAUGCUCCAUCAUAAUGGAGACUGCUAAUAGAAAGGGUAUCUCAUUUGGUUUUAUAUGUUUAUGUGUGAGAAUUGGAGUUUUAUUCAGUCAAAUGAGGAAAGGCAUCUUGGAAGUGUAAUAGGGGUAUUAUAUUUAAUUGCAUAAGUUAUUACAGUUUAGUAAGUCUCUCUCUCUCUCUCUCUUUUGGUGAUGCAUAUUAGAUGCUGUGCUAUAACAGGUUUGGUAAGUUAUAAUAUUCUAGCGGAUAGGCCCCCCAACAACAGACAAAUGGAGUUUCCCUUAGCAACCUCCAUUGAGGGCUCUUGGUUUAGGGAAGCUUUAGAUAUCUCAAAGGAAUUCCUGCACAAUUCAAAUGUUCAUAGUUCUCUCUGCUGUUUUGUCUUCAAAUGAGUUGGUUUUAGCAAUUGAUUCAAGCUAAAGAAUUUCCUUUGCAUAUCUGAUGCAGCAAAUAUGUGUGAAUCCAUAAUUGUAUGCAAUACUAGUGUUUUCUGGUUUUACACACACACACACACACACACACAAAUAUACAAAUACAUAUGUACAAAUGUAUCCAUAUAAGAGGAAGUAUUUUUUUGUGGUUUUAGUAGUUACUGAGCACUAUCUGUUUUGUUAGAGUGACUUCUGAAUCUUUUAGUUUGUCAUACUGCAUUUUUUCUACAGGGGAUCAAGAGUAAUGUGAGGACUAGCUCUGGUAUGUUUCUGAGCCAUGAAGAAAGAAGUUUUCCCAUGAUACAGGUUUGAAUAUUUGAAAGUCAUUACAAAUCUGUCUUGAAUCGUUGAACCUACGUUUGUAAGACUAAUCACUAAAUAUAUAUAACUUGGUUACACUUGGGGCUUUUAUGAUUUAUGUGUAUCUUCAUUGAUAGCCUUCCAGCUGGUAAAGACUUAAAGUGCACCGUACUUCUUAAUGUAGGAGCCACUUAUUGCUUUAAGCAAUCCAUUGUCUUUUUAUUUUGUGUAGAGAAUAUAAUGCUUCUGAUAUGAUAGUUACAAUAACAGUAAGAUAUACCUUAGUGUCUCAAGUUUACCUUGGAACUGGAAAAUCGAUGCUUGGUAAAGACAUGAAUUAGAAAUACAUGGAUAUAUAAGGUGUUUGAUACAAGAAACUCUGGAUUAGGUUUCUGGUUAAUCAUUCCAAGGUUUUCUUUUUGCAGUGUGUUUGAAUUAUUAGGUCUGAAAGCAAAUUAAAGGUUCUGAUUUUAUUUUUUAGAUAUGUCAGAGAACACAAAAGUACAUAUGACCAACAAAGAUGAGGUUGUAUUGUUAGUGUCUCUAGACAAGUGAAUGUUUUGUAAUAUUAGUCAUUGUAGAACAGAAACUUGAUCAUUCUUCCCCCUUUUCCAAUCAGGCCAUUGAAAAGCGCAUAUCUGUUUAUUCACAAGUGCCAGUAGAGAAUGGGGAGCUCAUUCAAGUAUUAAGGUGGGUACUUUGCUUAUGGCUUGUUUAAUAUUAGAUCGAAGUAAGACACUGAUGUUUCCACAUCGAGUCUAACAUUUGCAGCAGCACAGGUAUGAAAAGAAUCAUUCUACAAACCGCAUCAUGACUACUUCUCUGACACUGUAAGCAUUCAAACUGCUCUAUUUACUGCUUUUAUAAUUUUGUUGCAUCUAUUCCAACUAGAUGAGGUCAGCCUUUUUCAUUGUUUCGUACUAAGAAUGUAGACAUCUUGCUGCAGUUUAAUCUGAAGCGUGGUGGUCAGCGAGUAGCAACAAUGCUCAUUUAUUUAAGCGACAAUGUUGAGGGGGGAGAAACAUACUUUCCUAUGGUAGCAAUUUUCUUCUCUAUGAUGAUGCCUGCUGUAAACUUGAACUUUUGAAUUUUUUGGGUAUUUGACACCAAAAAUUUUUGCAACAACUACUUAGAGUAGAUUUUAUAUUAGCAUCUAACUCUUCCUAUGACCUUAUGGAUUUGAUAUACGAUGAACACAUUUGCUCUUGUUCAGCAUGAUUUUUUUUUACUGUCCAUAUGCUUUAUUAUCUUAUUCCAUCUGGACAAGGCAAAUUUAUCAAUCUGUUUUGUGAAAUGCAUGAUAAAUCAGCAUUUAUUUUACAAAAUCAGCUUUGUUGUUGGAACUGCUAGAAGUCUGCUUUUUAUUAAAUAAAAUAGAAUCAGCUUUUCUUGUUGGAACUGCAGAAAAAGAAAGAUCCAUUGUCCAUCACUGGUUUAAUGGUGAAACUGAAACUUGUGUUGUCAUUUCCUUCCAAAAAAAAAAAAACUUGUGUUGUCAUGUGUCAUUGUUGUCAAUGUUUAGGAAAAAAUACCUGAAAAUUUCCUUAUUGUCUCCUCAAUUGUCUUUUUAAAUGUUUCACAUGAAGGAUGGCCUGUAGAAAUUAUGCUAAUGCAUCCCAUUGUCUUCUUUUCAUAUAUUUUAAAUAUGGUUUUUCAUUUUAGAUAAGAUGUCAAGAAUCCAGGAUUAUUUAUGGCAAUAAGUAUGGGAUUAGAAUUCUUGAAAUUAAAGAUAGAAAAAUUAAAGAAACAGUGUUGUUUGGAUUGCAGUUCUCUAAGUAAAUUUUUAUGUUUUCAUGAGCACAUUUUCCAACCACUUUUACCUCACAUGCAUCAAAUUGCUACAGUGCAUUUUUCUACAAAAUUUCUCUAUUUAGGUUUGUACUGUUGCCCUUGAAGAGCAAACAUAUGCAUACUUGAAUAUGUGAUGUUCAUGAAUUUUUUUUUAUUUUGCUGUAUGUUUUGCUAACCCUAUACCUCUACCAUGUAUAUGCUCUUGUUUGAAUUGAUUCUGGACAUUUGUAGUUUUGUAGGCACCUUGAAUAUGUACAGUCCUUUACCUUAGCCAAAUAUAAAAAUGAAAUAAUAAAUUUUUUUUAGUUUAUCACUUUACCUAAAAGCUUAGGUGAUAUUGGAGGAGAUAAUAGUCAAUUUAGACAUCAAUUCUGCAAUGACUAGGCAAAAAAAAAAGGAAAAUUAAAAAAGUUUCUGCAAUUACGAGCUUUUUGACAGCUCUAUUGAUUUUUUCCAGCACUUGUGAUUGUUAUCUGAGAACUUUUGACGAGUCAUCUAUAUGCCACAUAUCCACUCUUAUCCAUCCGUCAAUUAGCCUGUUUUCUUCAAGUUUCAGCUACAUUACUUAUUUUGGGUGUAAUUUUUGUUGAUAUCAGGCUGGUACAGGGGAAUGUAGCUGCGGUGGGAAAAUGGUUAAAGGCUUGUGCAUAAAACCUGCUAAAGGAGACGCUGUACUUUUCUGGAGCAUGGUUUGUUUUCUAACAAUUGUUAAUCAUUAUUCCCUUGUAAAGACUGACUUUAUAUAUGAAAUGACUAAUAGACUGCCAAAAGUAAUAAUUUGCCCUUGAAGUAGCUCUCUGGUAGGGGCAGGAUGUCCUGCUUUGGUUUGAGUCUCACGUUUAAGUUUUUUCUCAGUAUAGUUGCUUCUUGGAUAAGAGAAUUAGCUAGUAGUAGUUUGAGUGGAAAGAACGAAUCUGUCAUUUGGUGGGUGCAUGUAUUUGAGGGCCUCAGCAGUUUGGGGGCCUCAUUAGGCAUUGAAUUUUAAGUUCUGGGAAUUAAGAACUAUACAAAUUUUCCGAUCAAUGACCAGAAAGAAGCUUCAGCAGCAUUAGGUGCUUUGCGAGACCUUCAUAAUAGGAAAAUUGAGCUCAGCAAUUUAAGCUCUAUGACAUUUGGGAUCAUUUUCCUGUAUGUCUUAGGGAUCUGGGUUUUUGAUCCGGACCAGUUUUUUUAUUUAGUUAAAUCAACAGAAUCUUUGCAGCACUCUGUAGCAUUCAUUGUGUCAUCAUGUGUCAGAAAUUAAUUCUGCCCUUUUAAAGAAACAAUACUCUUUAGAUGAACUAGAGAUAGCAUGAUGAGUUCUUGUGGCUUUCAUCAAUUUCUCUUUUUGGUUCUUGUAGGGGCUUGAUGGAGAAUCAGACCCCAAUAGCAUACAUGGAGGAUGUGAAGUAUUGGGAGGAGAGAAAUGGUCAGCUACAAAAUGGAUGCGAGAAAAAGUUGCAAACUGAUACAUUUAUGCUAGUAGUAAUACACCUGCUGUACUUUAACUUGUUCGCGAGUUUAUAGGUACUAAGAUGAUUCAAUAUAUAGCAUAAAAAUGAGUUUAGCUUCAAGUGCAGGUUUAGCAGUGGAGAUUUUUUUCAGGUAUUCCAUCAAAUGGCAACUGAUCUUAUAGGAAAAACCUCACUGUAAAGUUCUUUAUUCAUUCAAUGAAUACAAGUCUGAUGAUAACCAGUCAUCUUUCAAUCAGGAUUUUAGUGGUACAAAAUGCUAAUCAAAGUAAUGAUAUCAAGAGUAGUGUUAGCAUCACAGAUGCCUGCAAGUUUCAUGCUUAACAGUCUUGCAAAUGCUGUGCUUCCCUGUUAGUUUUUCCCUUGUUUUAUGCUUUGCUUUUCUUGAUUUAUUUUCCCCAAUUGUAUCAAUUGCCAAACAAGACAGGUGAAAACUGAAAAGCAGGCUACUGAUCAUCAAAAAUCUCAACUCACCAAGACAUAAAUCUCCGAAAUUUAGCCAUUCUGUUUCUAGCAUUCAUGAAGCAUGAACUGCUGACACCAUACACAACCGAAUAAUCAGAUAUACAUAAUCAUCCCAAUAGCCUUCCUUUAAUUUCUCUCUAAACAUGGUCACAUCUUUCAGAGGCUUUUGUGAACAGGCCAUAAAUGAAGCAAUCGCAGGCAAAAGAAGUAAAUAAAUAAAUGGACUUCGCCGGUUCUCCUGUUUUCGGAGUGUUUUUCAAAAAUUAAUUUUUUAAAUACAAUAAAAAUUUUUAAAAAGUACGCUACAAGUAAUCUAAAAAUUAGUUUAAUUUUUUUAAAAUUUUAAAAAAUAUCUCAAAAUAUAUUCUAAAAACUCUUCUACUUUUAAAUAUUUCAAAAUAUUUUCUAAAAAUAUUCCAAAAUAUACUCUAAAAACUCUGCUACAGCAAAGUUUUUCAAAAAUAUUCCAAAAAACUAAUUCAAACGGAAUUUCGGGCUCAUUUGGAGAAAAGAAAAUUUAUGUGUGCAACAUGGAGAUCACAACCCUAUGUUCACCAAAUGAGCUCUCAAAUUUUUUUUUUUAACAAGAAAUAUAGGGUUGAAAUAAGUAGCAUCUAAUAUCUAAUGGCUAAUCAUAGCCUUAACAUUCAAAGCACGGAAAUAUGAGACCCAUUUCAUGGAAGACGCCAGCCAGCCAGAAGUGUCUCGUCCUUCGCUGCGGCUGGUGCUGUGCGAGCUCAUAAUCCUCCUGGCCCAACCGCGACGUAUAGCAGACCCAGCUAAAACAGCGCCAGAGCCACAGGCGACACCUAUGAGAUAAUUCACAGUAAACAUCGCCAAUUGCUUGUAGGGAUGCAUCGAUCGGCCUUACGAGAGAGACCACAGAGAUCUAAUGCGAAUAGAAUCCAAGGGAACUCCGUGGAGAGAGGAUGAAGUAGCAAAAAAUCUUCCGUCUGGGAAUUAGGGCUCCCUCCAACCCACUGAUCCAAAUGAGCUCUCAAUUGAAUGUUAGUAUCGGGAACUCCUAUUAUGCCCUUAUAUUUUUUGUAUUAUUUAUUCGUAAGGCCGAUCGAUGCAUCCCUACAAGCAAUUGGCGAUGUUUACUGUGAAUUAUCUCAUAGGUGUCGCCUGUGGCUCUGGCGCUGUUUUAGCUGGGUCUGCUAUACGUCGCGGUUGGGCCAGGAGGAUUAUGAGCUCGCACAGCACCAGCCGCAGCGAAGGACGAGACACUUCUGGCUGGCUGGCGUCUUCCAUGAAAUGAAAAUCUUCCGUCUGGGAAUUAGGGCUCCCUCCAACCACUGAUCCAAAUGAGCUCUCAAUUGAAUGUUAGUAUCGGAACUCCUAUUAUGCCUUAUAUUUUUUGUAUUAUUUAUUUUUGUUACAGUUGCAGUUUUGGAAUUAAAUCGCGUAAUUGUGUUUAGAAAUUUGUAAAUUUCGAUGGUUUUUUCUUUGGGGUUAAAAUAAAUUUUUGAUGGUUACUUUGAUGAAAAACUCAUUUUCUAAAUUAGUAGAAUUAGCUAUAGAGAAGAAUUUUGCCAGAUUAAGAAUUGAAGUUUAGAAUUUUUUUAUUAUUCUAAGGUGAUUAUAUUGUUUGGGAACUAGUUUUCAAACCGUCACUCUCAAAAUUUCAAUCGACCAUUAUGUUUAUAUUGUACCAAGAAUUCCAUGCCUUGGGUCUAUAACAUUUUACUAUAAUUUCAGGGAAAUGUUGCUUGCACUCUUAUUUUUGUUAAUUACACUUCCACUAUCAUUUCAAUCGUAUAGUUUUCAUUUAUUAAAGGGUUAAUCGCACUUUAUCCCUUUAAGUAUAGGCGUUUCUCACUUUACCCCCCAACGUUUGUUUUUCCUCAGUCUACCCCAAAAACUAACAGUCAACUCUAAUGACAUAAACGAAUAUUGAAAAGACAAUAAUAUCCUUAUGAAAACAUUGAACAACCCAAAAUACCCAUAUACGCUGGUUUAUGAAAUGCAAGUUUCCAAAAUUACCCUGAAAUAAUGGAGGGAAAUUUCCCUCCAUCUGGCAUGGGACAGAAAAAGAAAAAGAAAUUAGGGAACAGAACAGACAAAGGUCCCCUUUUGACUAUGUCGGGUCACUUUCUCUUCCUUUUUUUCUUUGUCGGGUUACUUUCUCUUCACUGGUGCCCGAAGCCUUAGCAAAACGUCCACUAACAAAAUUGAAAAUUCUGGUGCAAUCUUGAAUGAAAAAAUGGGUAAUCGAUGUGGUUGUUAACAGACGGCAGAAUUGAAUUUGAAGAUUGUGAAAGGAGAUUAUGAGAGCUUGGGCAGAUCUAUGAGGUUCGAUUUUGCAAUUUUUUUCGAUUUUAGAAAUUUCUAAUUGUUAAUCAAUUUUAUUGCACAGAAACAAUGGUAUGGGUUUUUUUAAUGACUGCAUGGGCUUUAAUAUGUAGACAAUUAUUUGUUUGAAAUCUGUUAGUGUGGUCCCUUAAAGUUCAUAACAAGUCAUUGUCGGGUUAGGAUGGAAAACGAUGGGUUUGUCUUUUUUAAUUAUUAAUUUGCUGGAUUUUUUGUUUAUUUGGAUGGUUAUAUGUUGGCUGUUAGAUAGACAAACUAGGAUUUUUUAUUUUUGUGGGACAAUAAAAGAUACUUGCUCUGUAUUACCUGUGCAUGCACUAAAAACAAUUACCUUUGUGUGAUUACAGAAGAAUGGACUUCAAAACCUAUGUUUUAGAGGUUCACUACGGAGGCCAUUUUGCCUAUGUCCCAAAUUUACAGUAUGUGGGGGGAGAAGUUGCUAAUUUUGAUGAUGUUGACCCUGAUUUGAUGUCAAUUUUUGAGUUAAGAGAUGCUUUUAAAGAUGCUGGAAUAUCACAUGAAACAGAGGUGUACUAUAGGGUUAGGAAUCUUGACUUUAAGGUUGGUCUUAAACUGUUAAACAGUGACCAGAUUGUUAUAGAAAUGUUUGAGGCAAAUAGAACUCAAAACAUCAUACAACUUUAUGUUGGUGAGAUCCCUGAAGAAGAUUUGCAUGCUGAUAGAACUGUUGCAGAGGAUAAUAUUGAGGUUAAUGGUAAACAAAAUCUAAAUCCUAAUGCUGAUCAACCCCAAAAUGAUGAGGCCGAAAGUGAUGCUUCAGAUGCUUCACAGGAAGGUGAUAGGGAUGGUUGUAGGGAAGUUGAAUAUGACUCUGACUUUGAUUUUUUCCUAGAUGGGGAUGAUUUAAAUGAUGCAUGUGACCCUAUAGAUGAUGUAGAGAGGGAUGGUGGUGAAGUAGAUUGUCACCUAAAACAGACUGAUUAUGCUAAGUAUGUGGCACUGAUUAGUGAAGAAUAUAAUGCAUACCUUAACUCCAAAGGUCAUGGAAAACUGGUCGAUGAUGAAGAUGUUAGUGAUGAUGAAAUACUUAAACCAGUUUAUGAUUCAAAUGAUGAAGGCAUGGAGCAUGAAUUUCCUGAGUUUAACAUGGAAAGGGAUCUAAAAAAUCCUGAAUUGACUGUAGGCAGAAUUUUUAGCAAUAUUUAUGAUUUUAGAGCUGCAGUUAGAAUGUAUUCAAUUUUGAAUGGGUUUGAAGUUACCUUCACUAAGAAUGACAAAGAUAAAGCUGUGGUUAUAUGUUCAAAUAAAUGUGGAUGGAGAAUAUAUGCUAGUGGCUAUAAUGGAAGCAAAGUUACACUUCAAGUGAAGUCCAUUAAAGGCGUACCUCAUAGAUGUCCAUGGUCUUUCAAGAACAAGAGUGCAAAUUCUAGGUGGCUGUCUAGGAUGUUUAUGGAGGAGAUUGCUGACCAUCCGGAUAUGAAAGUAAAAGGGUUCAAGAAGAGCAUAAAAAGGAAGUAUAACCUGAACUGUACAAACUCUCAAAUGUAUAGAGCAAGAGAGAAAGCAGAGGAAGCAGUGAAAGGGUCAUGUGCAAAGCAGUAUGCAAGAUUAAGAGACUAUUGUGCUACACUUUUACAAAGAAAUCCAGGUUCAGUGGCAUUUAUUGUAACUGAAAAGUCCAAUAUUUGUAAAAGUCCAAUCUUCAAGAGAAUGUUUGUGAUGUUUACUGCACAAAAAGAAGGUUUUGUAAAUGCAUGUAGGCCUGUAAUAGGACUGGAUGCAUGUCACCUUAAGGGGAUCAUGGGAGGACAGCUUAUGUCUGCAAUUGGUAGGGAUGCUAAUAACCAGAUGUUCCCAAUUGCUAUGGCACUUGUUGAAUCUGAAUGCAAAGAUAGUUGGGGGUGGUUUUUGGACAGCCUUACUGAUGCCAUUGGCACUCCAAUUGAAAGGGGUUGGGUGUUUCUAUCAGAUAGACAAAAGGUCAGCACCACUACAAUCUGAUUUACUUUCCUUUAUUCCUCACUCACUCCUUUCACUAAUUCUGUUAUUUAUGUUUUUAUGUCAGGGAUUAAUUGAUUGCAUUGAGAAUAAGUAUCCUGGAGUGGAGCAUCGAUUCUGUGUUAGACACAUGUAUGCUAAUUUCAAACUGAAAUUCAAGGAUAAGCACCUAAGAGAUUUAAUGUGGGGGGCAGCCAGGGCUUAUUUACCCUGUCAUUAUGAAAGCAAAAUGAGAGAGUUACAUUUAGUAGCCCCAGAAGCACAUGCAUGGCUUAGUUCCAUACCAGCUAACCUAUGGGCCAGACACACCUUUUCUCCAAGGACAAAAUGUGACCUUUUAAGUAAUAAUAUAUGUGAGAGCUUCAAUCAAUACAUUAAGGAUGCUAGGGAAGAGCCUAUUUUGACUAUGUUUGAGGCCAUUCGAAGACAGAUUAUGUGCAGAUUUCAAGAAAAAAGAGACUGGAUUCAGAAGGUGAAGUCUCAUAUUUGUCCGAGGAUCUGUCAGAAAAUUGAAGAGAGGAAAAAACAGGUAGCUCAGUUUGAUGCACUUGUGUCUACAAGAGAGGUGUAUGAGGUGACUGGUAUAGUAGGAACUUUUGCUGUUAAUGCAGUUCAAAGGUCUUGCACAUGUAAUGAGUGGGAUAUGACAGGAAUUCCAUGUGUCCAUGCAUGUGCUGGACUUGUGCAAGACAACAAAGAUCCAUAUGCAUAUGUUGAUAAUUGCUACUCAGUAGAAACAUAUGUAAAGGCAUAUGCUGGUGUUAUUAUGCCUAUGCCAGACCAAACAAAUUGGGUGAAUGCUAGCAGUGAUACAUUACUCCCACCUCGUAGGAAGAUAGCUCCAGGCAGGCCUAAGAAAGUUAGAAAAAAGGCUCCAUUGGAGGACUUACAUGUUGGAAAACUAUCUAAAGUAGGGCUGCCAAUUCACUGCAGUCAUUGUGGUCAUACUGACCACAAUGCCAGAAGUUGCAAGGUCACUGGUUGUUCAUUUGUGAGGCAAAGAAAAUCAGUGACUGCACAGGUAACUUCAAUCAAUAUAUGUUGCUUGGCUUUUUUCUAUCUACAUCUGACUGUCAUUUUUUGAUGUAUUGCAAGAUGCAAGGGCCUACUAAACGAGGGAGAGGAGCUGGUAGAGGCCACUCUACAAAUGCUGAUGCUGAUGUUGAGAGAAAUACUGAUGCUGAUGUUGUGCAAAAUGCUGAUGUGACUAAAUCUACAACUGCAAGAGGCCCAACUAGAGCUAAAAUGAGAGGUAGAGGUAGGGGCAGGGGUAAGGGUAGGGGUUCAGACCAUAACAAUGGGCCACUAUGUGGCAUUGGACUUUGGAAUGGUCAAGGGAUAUCAACAAGUAAAACAUAUAUCCCAUUUGAGUCUAGCAUGGUGAGUUCCUUUUGUAUUUGUAUGUAACUAAUUUAAUUUUAGACACUUGCAAUGAUUAAAAACUACCUUUAUUAUGCAGAUUCCAAGUACUUCAAAGACUGGCCAGCCCCCUCCAACCCAACUGGUAAGCCUACAUUUUAAAACUCUGCAUGCAUGGCCAUUUUAUACGUGCUCACUUAUUGUUUCCUAUUGAUGAUACAGUGGACAAGAACACCUACAUCUGGUGCCAAUUUGAGUUCAACUACUGUUGUUGCUCCCACCAGCGUACCAUGUACAAGUUCAAAAGCAACCACUUCAGUAACAACUAAAAGACCAAGAACCAAGUUGGGUGAUGCUAAAACUGGAAGUUCUAAAACCAAUUCAGGUGCUACUAAAACUGGAAUGGUGAGUUCAAGUCUUUUGGCUAUGUUUACAUGCUACCACCCCUAGUAGUAGUUUGAUGCACUAAGAUGCCCCUCAUCCAUGUAGGUUCAAACCAAGAGUAUUAGAUUUGGAGAUGCUGUGUUUUCUACCCAAGGAUCUUCAACUGCUGCAACUGGACGUUCAACAGUUAUGCGCACACCUGAAUGUGUUUUGAUGUGAAAUGGUGUUGCUGUUGCUAUUUUUGUCAUUACUAGUAUUUGAAGUUACCUUUGCAGCAAUGUUAGAAAUGCUGAUGUUGUUUUUCUUUUCCCAUUAUUUGGACAUGUUCUAGAAUCAUGUUUUGGCUGGGUUCUACUAAAAUGGCCUUUGUUUGGGUGGCCAUGCAGACACAUGCUAAGAUGUAAUCUGAUGUGUAAAAUACUUUUAACUUAAUAUAAUUUUCUUUCAUACAUAUUUGCUUACAACUAUGGUAGAUAAAGCAGAUUUUUGUUACUUUUUGGUUCUGAAAUAGAGUACAUAUACAAAAUGCUAGCAAUCAGAAAUGUAAUGGCUAGUGUUUUUCUCCAUGAUGAAAAUCGAGCAGCUUUGACCAUCAUGUAUUGUUGCUGUAGCUGUUGGUUUUCAACUUGUAAGACGCAGACUUCUGUUUUUAAGGCUUCAUAUCUGCUUUUCAAUUUCUCAUGCUCAUUUGCCAAUUUUUCAUGCUUCCUUUGCAAGUACAUUAGUUUCUCCUUUUGCUCCAGCAAUCUAGAUUGCAGCACUGCACUUACUUCUUUUGUUUGGCUACAUACUUCAGGAUCUACCCAUUCAAAGUGCCCACAUGCGUGUCGGUUCUAAAUUAAAAAAAUAAUUAGUUGUUUAAACUCUUUCUAACUAAUUCAGGUAUAGAGCAAAAUUAAAGACAAUAUUAACAAAUUAUUAAUGAAAAAUUCUUACAUUGUAAUUUGAGCAGCCGUAAAAUCUUCUUCCCGGAUUUUCAAGUGUCCAAGACGUGCACAAUGGUGCCUCUUUACCACAUCUACACAUUUUUUGGGGUGAUCUUCCAACAUCAUUUGAAGCACUUUGUGACAUUUUAUGAUGCUUUUGGUUGACAAAGAGAAAUUUUAGGAACUUUGGAGAGAAAUUUUAGAAACUUUGGAACCUUUGAGAAUGUAUGAGAAAAAUUGGGUGCAAAAUACCUCCUUUUAUAAAACCCAACCAACGGCUAAAACCAACCAACCAACGGCUCUUUGAGGGAAAAGGUAGGCUAAAAGCAUCAGACACCAUUGAGGGGCAUUGUUGUCUGCUAAAACCAACGGCCCUUUUCGUACGGUAAAUUCGAAAUCUUAAAGUUUUUAACGGUGCAAUUGCUGACGGAAGGGGUAAACUGAGGAAAAACAAACGUUGGGGGUAAAGUGAGAAACGGCCUAUACUUAAAUGGGAUAAAGUGCGAUUAACCCUUUAUUAAACUAUAUGAUGGAACAAAUGAUGGGAUUGCAAAUAACAAAAAAUGGAGCGCAAAUAACAUUUCCUAAUUUUAACCUCUUUCAUGACCUCUGCCUUUCAACAGUAAAUAAUAAACACACACACAGAAUCUAAGGCAAUUCCACAGGUUUACCCAAAAGGCAAUUGCUGACUUCUGGAUAAAUCCUGAGCACCUUAAAUCCUACACACACAUACUUAUACCACCGAUGUGGGAACAAGCUUAUGGGGAGAAAGGGAAGUGGGAGGCUUAAGAGCCUUGAAGAAGAACUAACCACAUACCAAUAACACCUCUCUGGUCUUGCUUGUCUUUCAUGACCUCUACCCUAUAAGGCAAAAGAUUGUACUAGCAUUCAUAAAUUGCUGCAAGAAAUCCCAUGCCUUGGACCUCAACUUCAAUUCCAGAGACUUAAGUCUUCAACUUUCCUUUAUCACAUAUAUUUUCUACUUUCUACCCCACAAGACAAAAAUUCUAUUCUCUAUAUGUUUGGUUUUUUCCUCUCAUGCAACUCCUCCGAGAUGCAGCUGCUUUUAAGACAUUUCUGGCAUGAUAAUAUCUAAACAAACUUGACAGCCAUUAAUAUCUUGAUACACAGCAGAAGGGCCACCUAAUAAGAGCAAAAUUGCCCCCACGGGUUGAUCCAGUGGUAGUAGCGGUCCCUUGGAAUACAAAGGUCUUGAGAUCGAACCUGUUCGGUUAAAUACCUUGUGACUUGUCCAGAAAAACUGUACUUGGAGCCGCAGCGUUCCCUCUAGUUUAAUGUGUCGGCUAGGAUUCAAAGGACUCGGGUUGGAACAUAUUCUGGGUUACAAAAAAUAAUAAUAAUAAUAAUAAUAAGAGCAAAAUUGUCAAGAUAAACUCAUAACAUCUAUUAAUGUACUAUUACCAAAAAGAUUAGGUCAUAGGUGGUCCUGGAUUUGGCUCCAAUUUUCCUUUUUGGUUUCUUUUGUUUCUUCCUUUUUAUAAUUUUUUAAAAUGCAAUCUUUUUCACUAAUAUAUUGUGUUGAAGAUAUGUGAUCUGAUAUUAUGGAAAGAUUUGAUAAUAUAAAUAUUAGGAAAGAUUUGAUUAUAGUAUCAUAUAUUAAUUAGGUAUCAUAUGAUUAUAGUAUCAUAUAUUAAUUAGGUAAUAGUAUGAUUAUAGUAUCAUAUGAUUAUAGUAUCCACUUGUGUAUAUAUAUAUUUGUAUAUUGUGUAGUCCAAAGUGAAAUAGAAGAAAAGUAUUUUUUCUCUCCAUUUUUUUUAGUUUACAUGGUAUCAGAGCCCGUCUAGGGUUCUGGGAAAAAUACCACCUUUGCUUCUUGUCAAUUCCAGCCUUAAUUGCUGGUUCCUUUCUUAUUCUCUCCAGCCUUCAUUGCUGUUCCUGUUACUAUACAUUUUUUUUCCCCCCCUCCUAUUCAAUCAUGGCGGAUGCUACAUCCUCAACGCGGCAAUUGUCUUCAACUAUGGAAGAAGAACAAAGUACACGGAACACAACAGAGCUUCAAAACAUCCAGGCAGCAUAUAGACUAAAUGGAAAAAAUUAUUUGAAGUGGUCUCAAUUGGUUCGAACAUUCCUGAAAGGAAAAGGAAAGUUGAGUCAUCUAUUGGAAAUAGCACCGGAUAGUGAAACGCGGGGUUUGAAGCAUGGGAACAAGAGGAUUCAAUGAUCAUGUCUUGGUUAUGGAAUUCCAUGAUUCCUGAAAUCAGCGAUACAUGUAUGUUUCUUCCUACAGCAAAGGCAAUUUGGGAUGCCCUUCAUCAGACAUAUUCCAAGGUUAAUGAUGCAGCUCUUAUCUAUGACAUCAAGACAAAGACAACUGGAGCAAAACAAGGAACAAAAACAGUGACGGAGUAUGCCAAUUUUCUGCAAAACCAGUGGUAGGAACUGGAUUAUUACAGGGCACUUGCUUUGAACUGUAGCAAAUGUGCAGUGUUUAUCAAGAAGUUCAUAGAAAGGGAUCGAGUUUAUGAUUUUUUGGCUGGCCUAAACUCUGAAUUCGAUCUUGUACGAAUUCAAAUUCUGGGCAGGCCAGAGUUUCCUUCUUUAACAGAAGCAAUAUCCCAAGUACGUGGAGAAGAAAGUCGCAGGGGUAUUAUGUUAGAGCUACCUUCAAUAGAAAAUUCAGCCCUUUUAAGUUCCAAAUCUCAGCGGUUGGUACUGAACAAGGUUGCUGCGGACAAGACCAAUCAAACAAGUGGGCAAAAGAAUCGCGAGGAGUUGUGGUGCACAUACUGCAAGAAACCACGACACACCAUAGAUCAAUGCUGGAAACUACAUGGGAAACCACCCACUCGUGAAUGGGGACAAAAAGGUGGCCAGCAAAGGCAGGCUCAUAUGUCGGUUCAAGAUCCAACUCAAGUGAUUGGAGGGUUUAGUAUGGAGGAAAUUGAGAAGCUUAAAAGUAUGUUAGAGACAGUUGACAAACCAGCAACUAACAAUUCUCAAUCAAGGAAUCCGGGUAUGUGUUCAUUGACACUUUCAGGUAAGGCUCUAGUCUCUUUUGCAUUUAGUGUUUUAGGCAAUGAGCUUAGGAAUGUCUGGAUUCUUGACUCUGGUGCUACGGACCAUAUGACUCAUAUUUCAAAUAAAUUCAAAACCUAUAAUCCCUGUCCUAGCAAUAGAAAGAUUGUUGUUGCAGAUGGUACUACAACCACUGUGGCAGGUAUCGGAGAUGUCCAAGUUACUCCAAAUUUGAUUCUUAAAAAUGUUCUUCAUGUUCCUCGAUUAUCUACAAAUUUGGUUUCUGUAAAAAAACUUGCCAAGGAUCUAGCUGGCUCUGUUAUAUUUGAUGAAUCCUGUUGUGACUUUCAGGACCGGGGCUCGGGGAAGAGGAUUGGACUAGCUAAGGAGCAUGAUAGACUCUAUUACUUGGAUACAUCAAGUCAACCAGAAUUUAGUAAAUCUGCCCUGUCCACAUUGUCUUCACCCUCCAAUAAAGAUGUCAUCUGGUUACAUCAUAGACGUCUAGGUCAUGUGUCUUUUUCUGCAUUAAAAAUAAUGUUUCCUUCCUUGUUCAAGGGAUUUGAUGUUCAGUCUUUUCAUUGUGAUAUUUGCGAGUAUGCUAAACACACUCGUGUCCCAUUUCCUAUCAGUAAUAAAUGAUCGUCUUCUCCUUUCUUUUUAAUCCAUAGUGAUAUUUGGGGGCCAUCAACUAUUCCAAACAUCUCAGGGUCUAAGUGGUUUGUCACAUUUAUCGAUGACUGCACAAGAGUCUCUUGGAUCUAUUUACUCAAAAAUAAGUCUGAUUUGAGUUAUAUUUUCCCUGUUUUUCAUGCAAUGAUUCAAAAUCAAUUUGGCACCAAGAUAAAACACUUUCGUUCAGAUAAUGCUCGUGAUUAUUUCAAUCAAACCUUGAGUCAGUUUUUCCAAAAAGAAGGAAUCAUACAUGAAUCAUCCUGUAUUGCCACUCCACAACAAAAUGGAGUGGCAGAACGGAAAAACCGACAUCUUCUUGAGUGCACUAGUGCCUUACUGUUUGAACAAAGUGUGCCAAAAGCAUAUUGGGGAGAAACUGUACUCACAUCAGCUUAUGUCAUAAAUAGAAUUCCUUCAAGGUCUUGGGGUUUCAAAGUCCACUAGAGAACCUAUCCAAAUUUUACCCCGAUAUUCGAUCUUCCUUUAAUCUCACUCCUCGAGUUUUUGGAUGUACUUCCUUUGUUCAUGUCCAUAGUCAUAACCGUGGGAAGUUAGAUCCUCGUGCUCUUAAGUGUGUCUUCGUGGGGUACUCAUCUACUCAAAAGGGUUACAAAUGUUAUCAUCCACCUACUAGAAAACUCUAUGUCUCGGCAGAUGUUACAUUUGUUGAAAAUAAGCCCUAUUUCAUCACUCCUUAUCUUCAGGGGGAGUUAGAUACACUUGAAGAUAAGGAGUUAAAAUUUCCCUCCUUAGAGUUGACCACAUCUGAGUCAUCCAAAUCUGAAUUCCAAGAGUCAAUUCUUCAAUCUGAUGUGGUAGAAGAAAAAAAGGAAGACCGUAAAAUCUUUGACUGGUUCCGGUUUGACCAAGUGUAUACAAGGAAAGGAGAUCCCAUCGUGGUUACAAGGCAAGAACAAUCCUCUAAACCAAGCUCCGGGAAUGAGGUAACAAUGAGUGAAUCAAAUCUGAAUUCUACACCACCGACCGACCAUUCUUCCAGCUCUAAAUCACCUUGUCCUGAGCUUCUUAGCCUUGACCAGGACCUACAUCUACCUAUUGCUGUAAGGAAAAACCCCGAGAAUGCACCAAAAGACCCCUAUAUCCAUUGUCUCACUUUGUGUCUUUUGAGAAGUUUUCCCCGAGCCAUCAAAGCUUCCUUUCCACCUUAAAUACAGUCUCUAUUCCUAGCUCAUUGUCUGAAGCAUUAUCAAAGAAAGAAUGGAGACUUGCUAUAGAAGUAGAAAUGGAUGCAUUAGAGAAGAAUGGGACCUGGGAAUUAGUUGAUUUACCAAAGAACAAGAAAGUAGUGGGCUGUAAAUGGGUGUAUGCAGUAAAGUUUAAAGCAGAUGGGUCCCUAGAACGCUACAAGGCAAGGUUAGUCGCGAAAGGAUACACACAGACAUAUGGAGUAGAUUAUCGGGAAACAUUUGCUCCAGUAGCAAAGAUGAAUACAGUGAGAAUUCUGCUAUCCUUGGCUGUUAAUUUUGAUUGGGAAUUACAGCAAUACGAUGUGAAGAAUGCUUUUCUUCAUGGAGAGUUAGAAGAGGAGAUUUAUAUGAGCAUUCCACCGGGAUUCAGUGGGGUUGACAAGAACAAGGUUUGUCGGUUAAAAAAGGCAUUAUAUGGGCUGAAACAAUCCCCACGUGCUUGGUUUGGACGAUUUGCCAAGGUAAUGAUAGCUAAUGGUUACAAGCAAAGUCAAGGAGAUCAUACCCUGUUCAUCAAGCAUUCAGCCUUGGGGGGAGUUACUGUUUUGAUUGUAUACGUAGAUGACAUCAUAGUGACAGGAAACGAUGAAGUAGAGAAGAAAACUUUGAAGUGGUGCCUAGCCAAGGAAUUUGAAAUAAAGGAUUUAGGAAAAUUGAAGUAUUUUCUGGGAAUUGAAGUGGCUCGAUCAAGGCAGGGAAUUUUUAUUUCUCAACAGAAGUAUGUUAUGGACCUGCUCAAGGAAACAGGCAUGACAGCAAGCAAACCAGUUGGAACUCCCAUUGAGCAGAAUCACAAAUUAAGUGAGGCUCAUGGAGAUACAGCUGUGGACAGAGAGAUGUACCAAAGACUUGUUGGAAAACUCAUUUAUCUCGCACAUACUAGGCCAGAUAUAGCUUACUCAGUCAGUGUUAUUAGUCAGUUUAUGCAUGAUCCUAGAGCAGUUCAUCUACAAGCAGUUUAUCGAGUGCUUCAUUACUUAAAGGCACAUCCAGGGAAGGGAAUUUUAUUCAAAAAGGGUCCUGAAAUUGAUCUGGCAGUUUACACAGAUGCACACUUUGCAGGGUCUCCAGUUGACAGGCGAUCAACUUCAGGAUAUUGUACAUUUCUUGGAGGAAACUUAAUAUCCUGGAGAAGCAAGAAACAAAGUGUGGUAGCAAGGUCAAGUGCUGAAGCAGAGUUCAGGGCUAUGGCAGCAGGGGUAUGUGAAUUAUUGUGGGUUAAAAUUAUCCUAGAAGACUUGAGGAUUCAAUGGAGCAAACCGAUGAAGCUAUAUUGUGAUAACAAAUCUGCUAUAAGUAUAGCUCACAACCCAGUGCAACAUGAUCGGACGAAGCACAUAGAGAUAGACAGGCACUUUAUUAAAGAGAAGCUAGAAAGUGGACUGAUUUGUACUCCAUAUGUUCCGACAGGACUUCAACUUGCAGAUGUGAUGACAAAGGGACUGUGUAGCAACAUGUUUCAUGAAAGUGUUGUCAAGCUGGGAAUGGAAGAUUUAUAUUCACCAGCUUGAGGGGGAGUGUUGAAGAUAUGUGAUCUGAUAUUAUGGAAAGAUUUGAUAAUAUAAAUAUUAGGAAAGAUUUGAUUAUAGUAUCAUAUAUUAAUUAGGUAUCAUAUGAUUAUAGUAUCAUAUAUUAAUUAGGUAAUAGUAUGAUUAUAGUAUCAUAUGAUUAUAGUAUCCACUUGUGUAUAUAUAUAUUUGUAUAUUGUGUAGUCCAAAGUGAAAUAGAAGAAAAGUAUUUUUUCUCUCCAUUUUUCUUAGUUUACAUAUUGUUGUCAAUUAAUAGGAAUUAACCUCGAAUACCACAACAAGGUAAGCAGUGUUACUUUUUGUCCUUGACUGUUUCUGCAACAGAAACUUUAGACAACUUUUAAUUUGUUUUUUCCUACACACAUGAUUACGAAAAUCGUUAUUAGACUAAACCAAAUACACACAUGUUUUUUCAUGGAUUUAGGGUUAAUAUUGUGCACUUUAUGACUUUCAUUGUGUAGCAGUGGCAUGAAAGAAGUGGAAUAAAUUAUAAUGAAAUUUAAGUGGCUUGCUCUUUCCAAUUAAGUUAGUUGAAAGGUUCUUCGUGAGAUCUUCUUCCCUUGAACCAUUGUAAUUCGCUGAGACUAAUAGAGUAACAGUUGCAUCUCAAUUUUUUUCUAGGUCCCUUCUUUUCUUCUUCCUCUUUACUUUUGAUGAGAUUGAUUUUACUUGCUGCAAAUGAAACGGCAAUUAAAAACGUUUUGUCCUUCCUGAUUGUUCUCCAUCUGCAUCUUUCUAACAUCUUUUCUUUGCCUUUCAUUGGAUAAGCUCACUAAAUAAGCCAUAAACAUUAUCUUUUCAAUAUCUGGAGCAAUAUUCCUUGGUGGUAUCAGGUUCUCCAGUUUUCCAUGACUGCAGGUCACUCUUUCAUUAAUGCACGUAUUGAUGGCUAUCGUGUUUGUGGAGAUCAUUGUACAUACCUGUUUUGCAGAAACUUCAUUUUCCCACCUGAAUGCUUCCUAUUAUGUGCACAACUCCUAGACGUUGAGGAUGGACAGAUACACUGACCCUUUCUUGCUAAUAUGCUGCUGACUCUUCACUCCUCCUUAGGCAGAAGAAUUCUCUUCGCGCAAGCAGAAGCUUGCUAGCCAAGGUCCUGCAAUGAUAGAAGCUCGUCACAGUUCUCAGAUAAGUGUGAUAUAUAACCUGGAGGAAUAAGUAGACUACACACCAAUGCUGUUCUCUUACUGUUAGAUCUUGUGAUUAGUUUAUUCAAUACCUCUUUUGAAGUUCAGUCUUGUCUUUGAUAGCAACAAAUUAACUUCUCAAGGCGUUCCAGGAUUCAGAAGAUGUAUAGUUUCUAUGCUCUUCUAGGAUAAUGGGCUUGGAAAAUGCAUUCUGCGGUUAAUAUCAUUGACAAGAACAUUUUAGUGAAUUCAUGUUCUCAAAGCACAUGCACCUUCUUCCUUUUCUAAAUUUUAAUCAUGGAAGUAGGAAAAUAUGCUAUGAUCUGAUUUUAUCAGGUUAAUAAUGGCAUCUCAAGUUGUUCACGUAAAAGGGCUUUCUAAAAUUCUCCAGCAUGAGAACAUUUUAGAUGCACUUGUGGGCUAAUAACGAAGUUGUUUGCAGCCCUAAAAUUGGAGCUGUACUUAGUUUUCCAGAGAGGAGGAUAUUCCUCUGAAUUGGUGGAAAGUAAUGAAAUUUUAGUCGAGUUCGCCAAUGAUGCCAUCAAAAUCGAUGCUGCUAAAUUUUUGCCGCAGUUUGCAAGUAUAGAGAGCAGAGGUAGUAGAUAGUAGUAGAGAGGAGUUUGUGUAGUUGAAUGAAAUUGAUUUUUUUCUUUUUUGAUAAAUAAAGAUGCAUUAAAAUAAAGUGAAUUCUACGGAGUAAUAGUUUUUUUUUUUUUUGAUAGAACACGGAGUAAUAGUUAAGUACAGUGGUGACGUCGUUUAAAUCUUGCAAAAGUAAGUUGAAUGAAAUUGAUAAGAGACGGGUGCUAUGGACUCGUGUGUUUGGAUUGAGACUGGGGUGGUACGAUAACUUUAUGCAAACAAGUCUCAAUCAAAACACAGGAGUCCAUACCACCCGCCUCUUAUCAAUUUCUUCUAUCAAUAAAAAAAAAAAAACUAAAACUAUUACUCCGUAGAAUUCACUUUAUUUUAAUGCAUCUUUAUUUACCAAAAAAGAAAAAAAAUCAAUUUCAUUCAACUACACAAAGCUCCUCUCUACUACUUUCUACUACCUCUGCUCUUUAUACUUGCAAACUGCGGCAAAAAUUUAGCAGCAUCGAUUUUGAUGGCAUCAUUGACGAACUCGACUAAAAUUUCAUUACUUUCCACCAAUUCGGAGGAAUAUCCUCCUCUCUGGAAAACUAAGUACAGCAAAUUCUCCAACACUUGCCAUAUACUGAUAGCAAUCGUACUAAAAAUCGAUUUGCAAGUGUAAUUAGUCCAGCAAAUUCUUGUACUGCUAAUGUUCCUUCCCUGGCUAGAAAGUACUUAGUUUUACUUCUCCACAAAGGCAGCAUUGUGGUUGAAUUAUGAAACACAAGAAAAGUUUCUUUUGCUGCAUUUACGUUACAUCUAUUCUUUCUUUGUUUAGAAGCGAGCAUGAUUGACAGGUUAUUCCAGAGAAUGGAUAUUAGACUUGCUUACACUCAAAAGGAUGAGCCUUUUCUUUCUCUCUCUCUCUUUUUCCACCAUCAUUUUCUGAAAUAAAUACAUCAGUGUCUUAGCUCUGCUUUGAAGGGCAUCUUUGAGUUGGGUUCCCAUCCGCGUCACGAUAGAUUUGCAAGUCUGAAUUUCAUUUUAAUCGUUACUUUCUUUGCUUUGCUUUUCUGAAGAUUUGACACACAGGGAGAAGGUGGAAGCUCAGGGUUUAAGUUUUAUCAUUUUAGGGUUUUGUUGGUCUCUAUGCAGUGCUGACAAAAUCACCCACUUAGUUUGUCCUGUGAGUAGUAGUUGACAUGUUUCCUGUCUACUUCAACUGGAGAAUCGAACGAAAGGAUUAAAAGUAUACAUAUCUAUUAGUUGGAGAACCAAAUAUACACACUUAUUAGUUGGUUGGAGGACUAAAAGUGCACCAAAUGAAAAGUUUUUGAGGACCAUUGGAUCAUCGAGGUCUUUUGCCCCCAAACAAAAUGAUAUCCACAUAACCUACAAGAAAGAAAUGACAAAAGAAAUCAGAUGGGAAACUAAAAUGACUAAAGACUAUAUCUAAGAUUAAUCUUAACUGACAAACUGACGUCCAUAUGUUGUUGCAUGUACACUAUUCAACCAUUCCUACCUUUAGCCGUUGAAGCCAAUUUAUAUGGCUCGAUGGUAGAGCCACCACUGACCAUACUCCGGUUUAUGCAUUCGUCCAAAGAUGAAGGCCUUCAUCAGGUGGCCAUUGUUUGGCGUGACAACCACAAUCAGAAGAAUAACAACUGAAAGAAGUAAUGAAGAUCUAAUCUUUUCUUCCACAAGAUCAGUGAGUUCUGACGUUGGUUUUUCCUUGUCACCAGGUAUAAAUAACUCAAGCCAUCAUCAAUCCAAUUUUCUCAAUCACAGCCAUAAUCUUUGGUUUGGUAAAUCCCAGAAUCCACUGCAAGAUAAGGUUUGCUAUGUCUGCUUCUUCACUAGAUGCCUGCGUCUUUUGUUCUACACAUGCAUCGAUAAACAUUCUUGAAAAUUGUCUAGGCACAUAAUAGAUAUGUAUGAAUAUGAUGCAAAAAAUACUGCUACAGUAUAUAUGUCAUUAAAUUAAGCUAUAAACUUCAAUCUACAAAAGAACAGACCAAGAAAACAUGGUCUGUCUUUUGUUUGCUAAGCUGUAAUCUUCAUAUUGUUACUUUCGUUUGACAUGGUAACUGCCUGAAAGAAGAGUCAGUUGAACUAUUCGUGUUUCUUCAUUUUUGUUCCUUGACAAUCUUACUAGAGAAUUGAUAAUUGGAUCUUAUAAUCAGAAAUGCAGAAGGUUCUAUCUAGAAAAUGAGGCUCAAACACAAUCAUCAAUAUAAAAAAAAACUUCACGAAAUUAACAGCUCGUUUGUCAUUGUAAAGCCACAAGUGCAUGCAAACAUCAGCUAACAUGUCUCUGUUCUUUGUCAGGCAAUACAAGAAGUUCAAAAACGGUCUAGAAAGUUUUGUUUUAAGCAAUGAACAAGUAUGAAUUAUAAAACUUCAUCCUAGAAUUGUUUAAAUUAUCUAAAAGAUUCCUAGUAGGAUGAAAUAUUGCUAAGGUAAAUGACUGUGUGUGAUUUAACAGAGGAGGCAGGGGAAUAAACGUAUAUGUUUUGAAAAUUUUGUCAAAUAAAUUUGUUGCGUAUAACCUGCAGAGAUUGAGCCUCGGAGAUCCUGAACUGCCCUGUUGUUCAAGAUGGCGUGCCAAACAGCUUUGUCAGGAGAUUGAGACCACCGUGUUCUGCAAUUUAAGUAGGCACCUUUUAGAGACAUAACUGAAAGAACAAUUAGUGUGGAAAUGACUUUGGAAACUUUCAAAUUAUCAGCUGAUAUCUUUUGACAGUAAAUACGAUCUAGAACCAUACAUCAAUUUUCUGAGUAGAAGAACAACAAAAAGGGCAGAAAUGACCAAGUCAUCAGCAGAAUGAGAUUUUAGACAAGGGCACAGACAACAACUACAUGUGCAUUGUUUCACCUGAACUGAUGGCUCUCUUUGGAGCUUACUAAAAGCAUCUUGGAAUCUUUCAUAUCCAGGGGAUUGCAGCAUCCUUGAGUUGCUAGGCUAAACUAUUGGUUGAAGCCAAUGGAAGUUAGAUUUAGCUUCACCAUGCAGAAACCUGAGCAAAACAAAAGCAUAUGAUCAAUUAAAUUUUAGAAGUCAGUAGAUGCCUCUAAAGACUAACCAUAUGAUCCAAUUUAUCUGGGGGUAAAACUCAUUGACUGAUAGACACAAACGUAUUGCUUAUGCUUUUUAGUGUUAACAUGCAUAAACCAUCAAAUGCUGCAGAAAAAAGGUCGUCCAAUUAAUUCUACCAGAUUACAGCAAUGUAUAAUGCCAGGGCUGAUAGAGAGAAUUUCUAUUACCUAAGUUAUCAAAGAACCAUAAUAAUUUCCUUUUGUUUGAUUUCGAGGACUUAGCGAUCAAAAAAAUUGUUUGAUUCAAGCACCUCAAGUAUCAAUUUGAAGACAGGAGGUAGGCAACACAGAAACAAACCAAACUUUUAAAAGCAUUAGUAUGUGGUAUUUUUAAUUUUCGGUAGAAAGUUUAAGCAUAGAUCUUAGCUCUUUAGGCAAGGAUCACUCAGAAAUGGUUUUUGAAAGAAGAAGAAUAAAUCGAUGGAAAAAGUAUUGCAGUAGAUUUCGAUCGUAAUCUCUUCCAAGCUUUUCAUAAAAAAGGAGCGACAAUGGUGCUCAUGUUUGUAGAAAACAAGUUUAAAUUGAAAAUACACUAAAGAAAAGCAAUGAUUGAUAAAUUUAUAUUCUAAAUGAUAAAGUCUCCACCAUAUUUUUUGAUAUGCUUAUUUCUAAUUCUUUCAAUUAAAUGAUAACAAAAUCAUUUGUAUGGUUUUAAAAAAUAAAAUAAAAUAAUAGAGAUGAAUUUUGGCCAAUUACCAAGCUGUAACUUUUUGCUCUUAUAUUUUUUUCAAGAUAGAUAUAUAGGAUCAAAAUAUGUCUAAUGAUCAUCAAGUUGAAACCUCUAAACUCUUUUGGGUAUUAUAGGUUUGCUAACCCAAUAAAAAUCUCGAAGCCAAGGCUGCUAGGUUCAAUAUUUUUAAAUUCGGAUUGGAGAGUAUACUGGAAGAGCAUCCAGUUCUCGAUUCAAUUGGUUCAAUCAAUUCAAUUUCGAUUCAGAUUCAAAGGUUUAAUCAUUUGCCAAUCCCGACCAUUUGCCAAAUAAAUUAGCUACUUUUGUUUAGUUAUUCCUCAACACCCCCUGUUUCAGCUUUAUCAUCCCUUGGUCGCUCGAUUUUUCCCUCCAUUAGGGCUGUCAUAUUGGGACGCUACUCACUCAAUUUUUUUUAUUGAAAACCAUGAAAUAUACGAAACGAUUGAGCAGGAGAAAGAGAGAGAGAGAGAGAGAGCACAACAUGUGAGAAAUCGAAUAUUCAACUUUCAUAUUAGGGCUGGCUCCUCUUUUUUUUUCCCCCUUUUUGGCUUAAAGAUAAGAGGAUUUGCUUGGUGCUUGGUUUUUCUUUUCUUUGUCACUAUAUGGUUUUGUGAGAGAAGAUGAAACAGCUUGAGAGUGCAGCCGUGCUUAUGAUUUCUUCAAAUUGGGAGUCUUGCCUUGAUAAGACUUUCGUGGCUUUGAGUAUUAGAAUAAAUUGGAAAGUAAGCUGUAGGUUGUUAUUCUUUUUGCCCAUUUCAUUUGCUAGACAUUUUUGCUCCGGUCAGUCUCCUUAGAUCACAGAAAAAUUGACCUGUGUAUCUAUUGACUAGAAAUGAAAUUCCAAGUAUACGGUGUACCAUUAACCACCAGCCCAGGGCUCAUGACCGCCACCAAUGCAUUAAAGCUUGGUGAAAUGGGAGACAAGGGCCUCCCACUAAUUUGCCACAUUAAAGUGACUUUGUUUAAAAAUCCAGGCAGGUGCGUAGUGCACCCAUCUGGUCCGGUAGUGGUUCAGUUUUUUCCGGAUUACCCUUAGACUUCUUCAGGUCCACCCCUCCCCUUAGUAUAGGACUAGGAGGAGAACACCGCGCGAUGCGCGGUGUAAUUUUCAGCGGUGUAAUUUUCAAAGUUGCCCAGAAAUGCCCAAUGAUUCAAAUUCAAACUAUUAAGUAUGAAAAGUUACACAAAGGUACACCAAAAACUUUACCGUUUUGUUUUUGUAGUUUUAUUAAGCAGUGAAUAUGAAUAAUCUAUUAAAGAAAUGCAAGACAAUAUAAUGAGAGACUCUAAGAUCAUUAAGAUGCUCCUUGCUUUUGCAUAGAAUGAAAAUAAAAAAUAAAAAAAGACACAUGUAAUGGAGGAGAAAGGGGAAAAAAUAUAGCUUGAAAAAAUAUAGAAAGCAAGUUGUUAGUUCCUAAAAAAGGCAUUUAAUAGCUAUGAGUUUGUUUUUUGUUGAAAAAACCACAAAUCAAGUUGUCAGUUCCUAGAAAAGGAUAUUUAACAACAAUAAGUUUCUUUUACAAUAUAUUCAAACGAAUAAUAAAAUGCAUAUACAUGCAGUAUAAAGAGAAAAUCUACUUAGUAAGACUAAACGUAUACCAGUGCCAAUUGAAAAAAUUGACAAAGAAAAGAAAAAAGUAUUUCUAAUUGGCCACAAGCAAAAUGACUCUAGACUUUCAAUGACUAAUAGCAUCAGAGAGCUCCAGCUUCAUUCUGAUUCUCCUCUCAUUCCAUGAAUGCAAAUACCUAUCGAGCAGUGAACGAUGGGUUUAGAAAUUCACUCUAUAGACGAAACUCCAAGUUAAAAGCUAUAGACAAGAAGCAAUGUCAUAAACCAGAUUACUAAACAUUUGAACAAAAAAAUCCUAAAGAAAAUAUCAGAGGAUUUGAAUUUCUAUGGAACACUUAACUCCGAUCAGAAACAUCAAAUUUUGGAAAAAAAAACAAAGCAAUUUAUACCAAUCUAUAAUAAUAGUCCGAAAGUAUAAGCAAAGAAAUAAGUAAAAGGACAAGACAGUACCUCAGGAGAAACCAAAAGCAACGAGAUCUGACAAAAUUUCUUGAUGAUAUUAAUGCAAAUAAUCCAUGAGCAUCUUCACACUUCAAGUGCACGAGAGGUAAUUUUAAUGUUUCUAAACAAAAGAAAAAGGAUCAUAUCUCAGGAAUCGAGAAAGCAACAAAGACAAUCUUAAUCAAAACCAGCGAGAAUAAUUAAACCCAACAGGAUAAUGCAUCAUCAGUGGAACAGUUCAAUCAAAUACAACGUAGAUCUUCAGACAUAUUCAAAGUGCAAUACAUUUGAAAUUAUUCUACCUAAAGCAAUAGUAAGCUUAACCUAUGAUGUUCGUUAUUCCUCCUUGUUUUGAUUCUAAAAUCGUCUAACUAAUGCCUUGAAUUUUUGUGGCACUAUAGCACUAUUUAUUACUUUAAGCUUUGAAUUGCAUUACUUUAAGCUUUAAAUGUACACCACAAAUGCUAAUUUUAGCAAAUCCAAUGAUAAUUAACAUUGAUAACACAAAAUAUAGCUCUUCUGGUACCUAAUUCCCACAAAUUGAAAUGAAACCCCAAACCAAAAAGGAUAAAUGAUUCUACUAUCUACCUUAUCAUUUGAAAGCUAUUAGAAUCCUCACACAAUCUUAUCAAAAUCAAAUCUUAUUGAAAGCAUAAUAAAUAAUUACACAAUGAAUAAACCAACAAAAAAUGAAAACUCAAAGCAAAAACAAUCUGAUGUGAUCCUAAGCAUUAUCUGAUCAAUUACUUUCAAGCUCUUACCAUCUACAAUGAGUCGAUCAAAAUCCAAUUUUUCAAUCAUUCUAAUAACUAAUUCUACAACUAUAGAUGCAACUCACACAAAUUUUUUUUUUUAAAAAAAAAUCGCUUAGGACUAUGAAAUUUUAUUAUUUCUUCUUUCUUUUUUGCUUCACAUUCCAUAAUAGAAAGUCAGAAAUAAAAAAAAAAGGCAAACAAGAAAGAAACUCAGAAGACUGCUCAAGUUACAAAGAAAAAGUAACAGAAAAAACUUAAAGCAUUCAAUCAAACCAAAGAUCUGUUCUUUCCCUUCAUCAGCCUCACCUCAUUUUCAUUUCAAAAACUCAUUUAAAAAUGUAUUUUGAACUAAAAUAAAACCUUACAAAAACUGCUUAAAUUAAAGAAACUUAUAACCUGAUUGGGCUGAAGAUUCAUACUUUUCUCUUCAUCUGCUUAUUCCUCUUCUCAUCUUCUCCUUCUAAUCAGGGGAAAAAUUAAACAAAAAAAUACUUACAGAACCAGCUUAAAUUUCACAAAAAAAGUGAACAAAAGCAUACAUGUUCUGAUGAAGAUCCAUAUUUUCCCUCCUUGCUUCUUUUCAUGGCCUUCUUUUUUUUUGUCCCAUUUCGCUUGCUGUUUAAAAUGGGAACCUGAACAUAAUCAAAGCAAGGCCAUUAGAAAUUUGUUGCAAUUGUGAGAAGCUAAUACAAAGAAAAAUCAAAGAAUCCUUAAUCUUGCUUUCAAACCAAAUUGUUCCAUUUUCACCAAAAUUAUGCCCGAAUCUAGUUUCUUGUUUUCAUGAAGCUCUAUUUGUACUCUCAAAAGUUUCCAUUUAACCAUUUAAUGGUGAGAUGAGGAAUAAAACCCGUAAAGUAAAUUUCACAAAUUUAAAUAUGCAAACAAAUCGUUAUAAUUUACAAAAUAAGCAAUCUUGGCAAUGGUUAUUCGAUGCACACCACAAAUGUCCACUACCUAAGGCAUGACAAUGUGUAUGUCAAACACAUCCAAACUUGGCAACAAAAUAUCCUAAAAUAAAAACUUAUAUGCUAUCUUACCCAAACAAUACAGACAGUCUAAAUAAAAAAGAAAUAUAGAGUAAACCUCUUGAAUGGCAAUAAUUCUUAAAAGUUUUCUUACAAUAACAUCAUAAUGGUCAACAACAAAUUCAGUAAGUAUUUAAGUUUCGCAUAGUUGUACAACCCCAUAAUGAUUAAAAGUAAGAAUUGACCACCAUUUUUUCUUUCUUCCCUCUCUUGACAAAAAUCUGAGCAGAAAAUCAUAGAGCAAAUCAGUACAUAUAUGACGAGUAAAGCCUAAAAAAAAUUGACCACUUAAACAUUUUUUUCUCAGUAAACUUUGAAUAAUUCUUCACGUUUCUUGCUGUAAUAAAAGAUAAUUAAAUAAAAUAAGAGACCAAAAAAAAACCUUCUAUAGUAAACAAAGUAGUAUGAUUCCAAUACAGUGAAUUAAUACAGUGAAUUCCAAUACAUUUUUUAUGAUUCCAAUACAGUGAAUUAAUGGUGUGCAAAUAGUGAAGGACUGAAAGGCUGAAAUUAAGAAUAAACCAGCUAAUAGUGACCAUGCUCAACACAAAAGCAAGAUAAAAUAAGAUAAAAAAGGACUGCAUUUUUAACUUACAAAGUUUGUUAUUCCAUGAACUGGUUUCGGAGUGACUACAUCUUCAAUCAUUUGCACCUUUAACAUGAACAAAGUAAAUUAAUAACAUAAAAGAAUAAAAAACAUUAAUAACAUAACCAAAAGUAAAAUAAAAAGAAGAUGACUUAAGAAAAUAGGAUCUAAAUGCAAAGUAAUCCUAACAUCUUUUUGUUAUUUUAGCUGCAAAAAAUUCUCUUUACCUUUUCAAGGAAUAUAAAGAAACUGGAAAGACCAACAUAUUACCACACCAAACUUUUAAUUGCCCAUAAACAUUGAAAUCAUUUUCACGAAAGGUAAAGUCCAAAUAAGCAAGAAACAUGUAGUAAACCACUUAAAUGGUAGUAGAUAGUAAGAAAUUUCUCUGCAUUAACAGGCUAAUACUCAAUCUGCCAUAUUUACUCUAUAUUCACUUUAUAUUCCCAAAAUGUUAUCCCCAGUAGAUGAACUCAAACCAAUCUUCUAGGAACAAAAUAAACAAAAAUUUAACCAAAAAAUGGUAUUCUUGUAAACCUAAAAUAAAAGGUACUCAUUUAAAAGACGAAGGGCAGGCAAGAUUCAUGCAUAUACAAAUAUAUAGGAAACAUGUACUUAAAACAAGUAUCUCAACUAAUGGCUCCUUGAUAGGUUUCAGUGCUUUUAUCAGCAACUAAGAAAACACAAAAAGUAUUUUUUUUCUUUUGUUUUAAAGAAUCCAUAUACACUCUCCGGAAAAUGAGAACCAAAACUUCACAAGGAAAAAAAAAGAAAAAUAGUUUUAUCAAAAAUAAAGACACGAAAAAAUAACUAAAGUUUUCAACAGUCAUUGACAUGAAAUUUGAUCUCCACAAAUGGAGACUUUGGGUUGGUUACCAUAUGGAUCGUCUAUUGUGAGUCAAUAAUUGAACGCACCCCUGCACAUAACAAACCAAAAAAAAAAAAAAGCCAUAAGAUGAGCCAUGAAAACUCCAUUUUUAGAGUUUCUCGACAAUCUUUUAUUUCAGUUUCUCUACCAAGUAAUUUUUUCUUCUAUAAUAAAUAUCAUACAAGUUUGUAUAGGGGGCUCUAGAGACCCAAAAGAAAGAAAUAAGUAACAUAGAAACUACUUAAAAAGAGUACAAAAGUUAAAAAAAUGAAAAAAUAAAAUAGAGAAAACCUGAGAUGAAGAAGGACAAAUCCCAAGGAAGCAAAAUUGCACAGAAUGUUUCUCGGUGAUGAUCUUCUCUUGGCUGUACCUGUCUUCGGAGAAAGCAUGGAUAAAGAAAUAAGGAACAAUAUAGGCGAAAUUUAGAUAUUAACCAGGCAAAAAUUUUUGGGGAAUAAAACCAAUAAAUAUAGAAAGGAAAUAAAGAUUAAGAGGCACGGAAAAGACUUCAAAAGGGGGAAAAAACUUACAAAAUAGCAUGACGACGAUGGAGAAAAUCUCCAAAUUUCAUACCUGCAACAUCGCAACAUCACAAAAGAAAAAAAAAUUAGACGUGAUUUUUUGAAGAUCUAAGAAAAUCACAUCUGUUGAUAACAAAUUUCGGGAAAGAAAACGGCCAUCGAACAGAGAAAGAUUGCAUCCUUUUUUCCUUUCUUAUUUAUCCAACAGAUACCUUGGCCAGAAAAGAUUAUUAGGGAGAUAUAAGGGAAAAAAUCCAGAUAAAAUGUACAAAAAAACAAAAAAAAAAUCAUAGAGAAAGUGUUCACCUUUAGAGAACAAUCUCCACAUUUCUUCAUGGUUUAGUUAAUAGUCUGACCUCUCAACCUGUGACAAAAAAUAUGAAACUUAUCAGAGAAUGAGAGAAAAUUUAAUCAAGGGGAAAAAAAUGUAUACAGAACAAAAAUGGAGAAACGGUGGAUUUGAGAGGAAAUCGGAACCAUUGUAAAAUCGGAAUCAUUACAUUACCAUUGCAAAUCGGAACCAAGGCAUUAAAUCAGGAAAAGGAAAGUUCAAAAUAGCUAAAGAAAACGAAGAACUAAUUGAAUGUUUAUGAGGUAGCUCUUUCUCUCUAGCAAAGAAACAAGAGCAAUAGAAAAAGGUAAAGAAAGGAGUAGAUGCACAAUUACCACUGUUCAUGAUGUUGAGCAGCAGAAAAUCUGCUGGGACCAUUGUACAAAUGCAAAGAAAGCGGAGAAACUCUAUAACCAUUGUACAAAUGCAAAGCAGAAAACAACGUCAAUCGACGGGAGCAAAAGAGCUGAUGGGCGACAACGAGAAGAGGCGACGGCAGAUUGCAGAUUUACAGACAUGACCCCAGAAAAAGGACAAAAAAGACUACAAAGGCUCUUAUGAGGAAGCGUAAAUGGAAGCAGAAAGGAUGGGUAAUAUAAUAAAAAUGAGUCAGGUAUUAUUCAACUCAGGUAAAAUCAGCUGUCAACAAAAGGAGGCUGGAGGCUGAUGACAGGAAAUGUGAGCGGUGGAUGAAGAAAUCGAGAAACGAUGCAGCCAAACUAAACAAGCAAAAUUUGUCCGUUGCAAAGACCUGGUAAUUAAGGGUGUUAGUUUAUAAGAUUAGUUAAUUAUGAAACAAUUAACUAUUAAGCCCGCCAAAAGCAAAGAAGACAAGAGUAAUGAGAAGCGGUCUUCUCAAGACAGAGCAACGUAGACAGAUUAAGUAACUAACAAUUAAUAACAAGGUAAUUAAUUGCGAAUCGUCAGGCAAAAAAAAGUAACAAUAUUAAUUAAUUAGUUAGCAAUCAAUUGUUAAAAAGGGCAGCCAAAUAUGAUUUGAUCCGCAACCCCAAAAAAGAGGCUAAAUUUUAGCUAAUAACUACCCAGAGCUGGUAAUUAAAUGCGGCUUGUUAGGUAAAAAAUUUCAAUAACUAUAAAAUUCGGUAAUUAAAAGGAAUUUGUCUGGCAAUAAAACUGCAAAAUUAGGGGCUAAUUUAAAAAGAACAAUUUUAAAAAGUCGAUAAUUAAACUUGAUUUGUGGGCAACCCAAGAUAAAGGUGAACAUUUUCUUAAUAAAAUCUGGAAAAACAAAGGUAACUAAAUGCGAUUUUGUGAAGAGGCAAAAAAAAUGUUUUUUUAAUAGUUUCAAAAAAGUCAUGAACUAAAUGUGAUUUGUUAGGUAAAAAAAAUAACAAGUAAAAUGACAUCAUUAAUUAGCUAUUAACAAUGAAUAAAAAAAUUGGUAAUAAAAAGUGAUUGAUUGGGUAAAAAAUGGAAUUCAAAUAAAAAUAGAUAAAUAAAUAGUUAUAACAAUUAAUAGUGGAAUCGAUAAUUAAACGACGGUGCGUGGCGUGAAUAAACGAUAAAUGACACCAGCGGAAGCACACUACAUUGCUGAUUGUUUAUGUAGAAUCAAUACCAAAUAAAGCUGUAAUGAAAAUUUGAUAAUAAUAGGUGAAUGCCUUCCCCUCUUAUAUUCGAAAAAAAAAUAUGUGUUAAUAAUUAAUAUGUGUCAAUUACAAGAAUUUGAUAAUUAAUUGUGAUUUAUUUGGAAACUACAAAAUGUUAAUAAUUGUAAGAAGUUGAAAGUUAAAUGUUAUGUGUUAGGUAAUAAAAAAUGAAAUUAUUGAUCAGCUAACGAACAAUCAAUUGGAAAAAAAGUAUUGCUAAACGUCUGAGAAAAAAAAAGAAACAAAAUCCAAAAGAAUUGCUAAACGUUUGAGCAAACAAAAAACAAAAGAAUUCACGCGUGGGAAUGGACGGCCAUCAAUUGGAAAUUGGCACGGGUAAACAAAAGGCAAAAGGAUUGCUAAAGGUCUGAGAAAAAAAAAAAAAACAAAAGAAACAAAGCAAAGCCAACCAAAGCCACGUGGGACCAGAAUUUAGCUGCAAACUUCCAGGCCAGACGUCCAAGCAAACAAAGAGAAAAAACAAUCGGCUGGACAACCAAUUCACGCGAGCGAAUUCACACGAAGCGACGAACGGACGACCACAAUCGGCCAAUGGAAGCCCGCCACGUCAGCAAUCACAACGCAAUUGAAAAGUUCCCCAUUCCCGCAUAGACUAGAUAUGUUAAUAAUCUAUCGUAUCAACAAAAAAAAAAAAAGGUAUACGGGGUACUAUUGUCCUACAUUCUUCUUCACAAAGAAAGAAUCUAUCAGUUUAUUAAUGUUUAAUUUUCUAGUUGCAUGCAAAAAGUAAUGGAGUACAAGUGAAACAAAUUGUCAUCUGUGAUUCAGGAUGUGCCUUAACAGUUUCAUAAUCUAGGAGAACCAGAAGCAUAACGUUAAGUUCUUUAAAGGUGAUUGAUACCUUUGGUAACAAGAUUGGCAUGAAGAAGUAAAGGUACUCUACUCUAUGAAAGCAAAACAUUGUGAAGCGUUGCUUCAUAUUUCUUAAACGUUGGUUAUAGAAAUGAAGAGAGAUAGCUGAAGUAAUUUCCUCUGAGGCCUAAUCUUUAAUUACCUCCAACCAAAACCUCAAUGCUCUGAUACUGUACUGCAGAUGCCCCUUGCGAAACAUCUUUCCCUGCCAUCCUUUCCUUGGCUUUGGAUUCAGCUUCAUUCAUUUUUUUUCAACUAGUACACACUUAUCUGUCUGCCAAAUGCAAUCUAAGGAGAUAAAUUGCUCCUUUAUAGGAUAAUAUUCCCUAAAUACCUGCACAGUGCCCAAAUAAGAAAAGAGGAUGUUUCAAAUGAAUAGGCAAACUUUACUCGAAAAGGAAAUAAUCUCUUUAAGCUGAGGUCCAUAAAACAGUAACUACUACUAUAAACUGAUGCAAAAGAAUUCAUUAGACUACAAAAUCAGUGAAAAUAACCUCGAAACCUUCUUCGGUUAUUUUAAUAGCCUGCUCCUUUCGAGAUAGAGAAGAAACGGAGUUGUAUACACAAACAACAUCAAGGAGUAUCUGCCAUGAAAGGAAUGGCAAGCCAACUUAGUCAAAUUAAAUUGUCAAAUCUAAUAAUUAUGAAAUCAAAUCUCUAUCACCGACAUGAUUACAUGGAUUACAAGUAUAUCAUCCUCCAACUAGCUCAAUCUAUAUGAUUUCAUCACUAAGCUCAUUGAAGAAACAAACAGCACUUACUUGUUGAAUCAAGACUCGAAGGCGUGCAAGCAGUGACAAAAUUGUCAGUGAAAAUCCCAUGAAGAAUGAUUGAGAAAGCAGUUCAGAUAUAUCUCUGUUAGUUGUCACGGAAAAACAGAUGAAAAACUAUAUGAAAGGACCAUGCAAGACUGCACUAAAAAAUCCUACGCAAUAAUACCAACCAUCAGGAGGAAUUUCCUACAUGAUUAACUGAACCAUGAAUGUCAAGACAAAGAAAGCAAAUAAUAAAGGAUCCAAUAUUAAUCUGCAACUAUGAAGAAGAGUAAACUAGAGUAAGUAGUGAUAAUUCUACUCAUAUCCAUGUCUGAUUACGAUAGGAUGCUUCUUUUAUAUGCCAGGAGAUCUUAAGUCAGAGAAGUAGUUAAGUAUAAGAAUAUAAAAAACAAAGUCAAAAUUAGCUUGAUUAAAGACACAACCAACAGGAAACCACAUAAAUAGCGCAAAAUGUUGCUCCACAUUAUUAGUUCACACACUUGAGAUGUCACUUUGAAACUGGUACAAGCAGAAACCUUCAAGACAUUCAAUUUCAAAAGAUUAACAUGAACCAAUUGAAAAGAAAAUAAAGGGUGUGAAAUGAGUAGGGAAUCUAGGAUAAAUGAACCCAUUAUUUCCAGAAGUGAAUCUUUAGUCAAGAUCCUACAUACAAAAUCAAAAACUCAACAAAGGAUACACAGCUGCCUUCAACAUUGGCUCAACCAUCUGCAACAGAGAUAGAGCACAAUUGGGAAGAUAGUUUCAUGAAUCAGAGCAUACUGAUCCCUUCUAAUCAUGUUUUCAACUAGAGGGAAAGUUUAGUACUUGUUGGAUAUAAAUAGACAAAAGGAAAGUAAUCUAUUAAAGCCCCACAAGAAAUUGAAAAUGACCACAUCUUCACUCUAGUUCUCCUACUGGUAGUUGUGGUGUAAGGUGAAGCAGCAGAUAUGCUUCCUUGGGAAAGAAUAAAGAUUCCAGCUAAUUCUAUUUCUCUUGUGGACAAUGAUACCAAAGAAGUAGAUGGAGGAGGAUGGUAAAGAAAGACAGCAACAAUGAUCUGUUAAUAAUUUGCUACUACAGGAAGAUAACAUAGGAACAAUGGAAGACACUGAAUCAACCAACUUCAAUCCUCUAAGGUCCAAAGAUUUUGAUGGACACUGACUUAGACAGAUUUGGACAUCAAAACAAUGAAAAAUUUUGAAAAGCACAGAUGUAAGAUCAUUGUUUAUGGCAUGCUCGCCUUUUGAUGUCACAAGUUCGACGAGGCACGUAGACAACUGAAGGUAGAAUAACAGUUUAAAGAAAACACAACUAUGAACAACAAAUCACAAACAAAUGUACUACCUUUGAUAGUAAACGUGCAACCUCAACAAGCCUUUCCAAAAGUUAUAUUUACUUCCAUCACACCUUCUCCAUUUUAAACUGAACCCCAGUGUAAAACAGGAUGCAAACAGAAUUACAAAUUGAAGCAAUGAAAGGCCAAAAGUUUAGAUAUGUGCAAUGCAACAGCAAGUAACAGUCUAAUCACUGCUAAUCAUACAUUAAAUUGCAUUCAACUUCCAAUUUAACUUUUCAAAGCCUCCAUAUCAAAUUACUAAGAAUUCCAAAUUCUGUAUGCAGCUGACCCAAAAAAGCCUUCAAUCUCUCCUCAACUACUUCAAAUUCAGAACCCAUUACCUUUAAUAAUGCUAAUAACUACGCUUGCAGUUUAACUCAUAUGUCAUAUCCACGACUUUCGCACACGAUGCUGUUUCGGGCGGUGAUUCUUAAAAGGGUGCAGUGGUGGCGAAAGCCAGAGGGGACUUUUUGGAGGUUGUUCCUGGAAACAGGGUUCAUUCAGAACUUGUAAAAAAGUCACCAAAAAUAAAGCGACAGGAAAACAGGAUACCUAAAAAGUCGAGGGUGGCAGGUGUCUGAGGACGACAAGAACCCUAAUAAACUCUGUAAUUGAGGUACUUAGAGGGAUGGAAACACCAAUUUUCAUAUUGUUUGUGCUACAAAGUAAGGAGGAUAACUAUAAAAUAUAAAUAGUGAGUUGCAUUACACCGUAUACUUGCAAUUUCAUUUCUAGUCAAUAGUACACAGAUACACAGGUCAAUUGUUCUGUGAUCUAAGGUGACAGGAGCAAAAAUGUCUAGCAAAUGAAAUGGGCACAAAAGAGAAACAACCUACUGCCACUUUCCAAUAUAUUCUAAUAUUCAAAGCCACAAAAAUCUUAUCAAGGCUAGAGCUGUUAAAUGAACCGAACUGUUCAGUAGUUUGGUUCGUUUCGACUCGUUCAUGUUCGUGAAAGGUUCGUUCGAAACCUUAAACGAAUCGAGUUUGAACGAAUUUUUUUAUUCGAUUAAUAAUCGAGUGAACACGAGCAUGUUCGCGAGUUUUAACGAACAUUCAUGAACAUUGACAUAAUUACCAUUUGACAAAUUUUAGGGCUAAUUUUAUGGCUCGACUUUUAUAUGUGGAGGGCAAAUUGCUUUGUUUUAUUUAUUGUUUUUAUGUUAAUGCUAGUUAUAUAGUUAAUGAAUAAUAUUAUUUAGUCACUUAGUGCUUUAAUUGUUUUUGAGGAUGAUUAAUGAUUUGUAUUGCAUAUUUAAGGCUUAAAAUAAUUUGUAUUCGAGCUUUUCGAGCAUGUUCGCGAACGGCUCGUUUAUGUUAAACGAGUCGAACACGAAUUCGAACUCGAAUAUGAACUUUGCUUAAUGAGCCAAACACGAACACAGGUUUGGAGUUCGAAAGUUAACGAACGAACACGAACGUUGUUCGAAUUGCUUAACGAACAGAGCCCAAACAUGAGAUACUUGGUUCAAUUCGACUCGUUUACAGCUCUAAUCAAGGCAAUCCUAGAGUGAAAAAGUACUACAGAAUGACUCCCAAUUUGAAGAAAUCAUAAGCACGGCUGCACUCUCAAGCUGUUUCAUCUUCUCUCACAAAACCAUACAUUGACAAAGAAAACAAAACAUCAAGCAAAUCAUCUAUCUUUAAGCCAAAAAGGAAAAAAAUUAAAAAAAAAGAGGGAAUAACAGAAAAAAUUAUGAACGAAGCACCAGCAACUGAUUGUAUAGUUCAAUUUCUAACUCCAAGGGAUGAUAUGGAGGUUGAAUAUUCAAUUUCUAACAUGUUGUACUCUUUCUGCCGCUCAACCAUUCCAUAUAUUUCAUGGUUUUCAAUCAAAAAAUUAAGUGAGUGUCCCAAUACAACAGCUCUAAUGGACGAAAAAUCGAUCUUCCAAGGGACUGAUAAAGCUGAAACAGGGGGGUGUUGAGGAAUAACAAAACAAAAGUAGCUAAUGUAUUUGUGGUUAUUUGGCAAAAUAUUUAUGUUAUUGGUGAGAAAUCAUGGGAUUGCCGCUUAUGUAUCCUCUUUUGUGAGGAUGCGUUCUUGCAAGCAUGUUUUUCCUCAUUUGGGCGUUUGUUCAAAUAGCUAACAGGCGUAGAGAAGAAAUUAGUGUAUUUCUUUUCAAACUUGUUCAUAAAUAAUGCCCAAUUUUUUUCACCAAUCGAAUCCCAUAACUAAUUUCAGUUCCAAUCUUCAAACAUCAACAAGGCUCAAGCAUAGAACAUCAAAAAAAUAUAAUGACACUAAUUAAUGCAUAGGGAACAAAGUAAAAAUAAAACAUUACAGGACUGCCCGAGCUCUACCUCCGGCAAUGAAGCUUGAUCCGACUGUUGGUGCUUUGAUUUUCGUGAAAAGAAAUUAAAAGCUCGUAGUCCAUGUCUACCGUCUAUGGGCGGAAGAGGCCGUAAAAGUGGUAUGCACCGAGCGUAUCCGGUGAACAGAGAGCUUAGAAUUGCAGAGUGGUGUUUCCUUAUUUGUGUGUCUCCACAACAACUCCCCCAAGUUCCUAUUAUUCUCCUAUGACACCCUAAAUAUUGCAAGUCAAUCAUCCCCAAUAAAUAUUAACAGUUCCAUUCUAACACCCUAAAAAUCAAAAUCAAUCCCCACUAGGUACUUUCAUAUUAUGAAGGGUACCUAACACAAAAACAAAACGUCUAUAAUUUCAUUUGUUUUUCAUUGAUAUUCUUAAUUUACUAAAUGCUCAAAUUAAUUUCAUGCCUUUCAACUAAUUCUUGAUCACAAACAUCUUUAUGAAUUACUAGUCUAAGUUAAACUUGAAGUUGCAAGAACCCUUCUGAUAGAGAUCAAGGAAAACCAUCAAGUGCUCUAGAGAACGCCUUUCCCCUUUUGCAAGUCCUCUUCUCCGUGUUCUCCUGCUGCAUGCAUUCAUUACUCCUCUGCUUUUAUUUUCUGCAUCCACAGCUCGCUGCUCUAUCCUGCUACCUUUGUUAUUGCUUUGCAUAAGUUCAUAUCUAGGUUCUACCUCCUUUAUGCUAAAUCUUUGUUUUUUGCCCUUAUUUAUGCUGUGAGCUCUAAACUAUAUUUGUUAUUGUCAUGCUUAGUGUUAGCUUUGAAUAUUCAGUGUAUAGUGUCUUCAAGUGAUGUGCUUGCACAUUUAACGAAUAAGAAGAUUCUUUGCAACCGAAAAUUAAGAGGAAAACUGCUUCCUUAUCAGUAGAAGAAAAAGAAGCUAAACAGAGGGGAGCUUAUCAAAAGAGGAAAGCAAGGAAAGCUGCAUCGACGCCUUCUAUGAACCAACAACAAAGUAAGAAGGGUAUCUAAUUCAGUUUUGCCGGAAAUGAAAGCUGUAGUAUGAAUGUUUAGUGCUUCGCCUUUAUAUUGAUUUCUUGAGAUUUCUGCUUAACUAGCUUAAUGGUGAUUAAAGCUCUUUAUGUGUAAAUUCAGAGCAAACUUCUGUAAGAAAUAUAUACAAAUGGAGAAGAGCAUAAAUGUUUAGUAUUUUGCCUUUAUCUGAAGGUCUUGAGUUUACUGCUUCGCUGCCUUAAUACUGGAUUAAAAGAAAUCUUUAUGUGUCAAUUCAAAACAAAAUCUGUGAGAGAUGCAUACGAAUGGAGAAGAGCUUCCAGUUAUUGUGGAAAGUCCGCACCAAUAAUGCCUAGAUAUGCCUUGCGCUUGAAAUAACUGCGAUAUGUUUUAUACUUGUUCCUGCUUAGUUGUUGUCUCUUAGUCUUGUGUUACUUUGAGAGUUCAUGUUUUCUUCUAUUGAUUUCUGGUUACAUAUUUAUAACUGCAUUCUGUAAUUCAAUUUGGGCUUAAAGAUACGGCAUCCAGGCUUUCUACAAGCUAUGUAAUCCUAAAUUCUAUCUUAAAUCACAUGUGUCCAAACAUCUGAGACGUUACCAUGUCUACAUCUUCCUUGCCAGCUACCACUCCUUUACUUACACAAGCUUCUGAAGCCACUAGCCCUUCUGAGCCAAUUUCUAUCUAUUACCACAUACUUGCCAACCUUUCAUCUUCUCCAGAGGCCUUAACAAUAAAGGAGCAGCCCAUCUCCAAUCUCACUGAUUUGCUUAGACAGGAAAAUAAGGCAAAAAAACUUAAUAACCUUCUGACACAACUUCAGCCCUUCUUUUCCUUGAUCCCCAAAGCAAAAAGUCCAAAAUUGUUCGUGGAAUUCUUGAUACGCUGGCCAAACUACCUGGCACAUCUAAUCUUCAGAUUGCCCUAUGCAAGAAAAUUGUACAAUGGACGCGUAAUGAGAACCAAAAUUUCCUUUGUCUGUGCACUGAGGCAAAACUCGCAGCUCUUUUGAUGGAGAACAAAGAGUAUUCUGAAGCUUUGGCUCUCCUUUCUGGACCAAUCAAUGACGCGAGAAGAUUAGAUAACAAGUUGCUUCUUGGAGACAUUCACUUGCUAGAAAGGAAGCUUCAUUUCUCUUUCAAGAAUCUACCUAAAGCCAAAGCUGCACUUACAGCUGCAAGAACAGGUACUAUUUGAUUCUUCUCAACGUGUUUUUUAGAAAGGGAGGGUAAGAGGAAAGAAGAAAGGGAGAUGAGAAAAAAAAUGAUUGAUCAUUGCUUGAUGUUCAUUUCACUUUAUUGAACUUGCUUCAGGCUCUUAUUAUGUUUUCAGUUACACAGUUGCUCGAGUAGUUCUGUAUUUCGCCAGGAGUGUCCAACUAUUUCGCCGUGGUUGAUCUCAAAAGGUUUCAAGGUUGAAAAUGGCCUAACAAGAAAAGGAAGCUUGCCCAUUGAAAAGCAUCCUGUUGAAUAACUUAUGCCUUGUAGACAUUUCCUAUCAGCUUAGCAUUGAGUUGAGCUUAUGCUUCAUUUAGGAUGCAGAUAAUGUGAAAUCUAGAAUUGAUGGGGAUUAUUUAUUUAAAUAGCACAAUAUGCAUAAAAUAACAAUUUUCAAGUUGUAUCAGUCCAGUACAAGUGUAGCUUAUACUUUUACAAAUGUCCUUACAGUAUGUUCAAGAAGCAGAGAAUAAUAAAUAUCCUAAUAGUAAAUCUAUAUUACUAAUACCCAGACAAAUACAUGCAACGGCUUCUACUGCGACUAUUGUCCCCAAAUAAGGCUUAUAAGCCCAACAUGUGGACACAAGCUUGACCUAGCUGGUCAGUUAUUGCUUUCUUUUUUUCAGGGAGUUACACAUAAUUCUUGGAGUUUUAUAGGGAGUUAUUACUUUUUUAAUGAUCAAUGUCUCUAGCAUUAUAAUUGCUUUUUAGUAAUCAUCCUAUGAUUAUUUAUGGCAGUCACAAUGAAUCUUUAGCCCUUGACAUCAUUUAAGCUAACGGUAUUAAUUCCAGCUGUGUGUUUUGAUCAUUUAAGCUAACGGUUCCAUGUGCAUAUUGUUUCUACCAUAUAUAAUUAUGUUCACACCUCUGCCUUGUGCUCUCAUUCUUUCGUGUUGAACAUUGAUGUCCUUUUAAUAAAUGAUAAAAUGUUCCAUAUGCACAUAUUUUUCUACCAUAUAUGAGAUUAUGUUCACACCUCAGACUUGUGCUUAAGUUUCAGCAGGAACUGUAAUGCCUAGACAUGCCUUGCACUCAAAAUAAAUGGGAUAUGUUUUGUAGUUGUUCCUGCUUGGUUUUAGCUUUUGGAAGUCAAGGUGCAGCACUGCAGCACCUUGUGCCAUAUCUUUUGAAUCAACUAUACUGCUACAUAUGUAAACACCACGCUUUUUUCUUUCUUUUGAACCAUCAGUACUGCACUACCUUCAUCUUUUGUAUCAGUGCAUAGAUGCUCUUUUGAACUAAUAUAUAUUACUUUUGCUUGAACACAAUCUUUUUCAUCAUGCAAAAUAUAAAAAUAUCACAAUAACAAAUACAACCUUACUAAUAGGUCUAAAGUGCGUGGAAGCAACCACCUCAUUCUUAUCAAUGGAAUGCACCAGCUCUUGAGCCAAUAAGAUAUAUUGUCGGCAUAUCCCUUGCUUUAACAAAAGCUGACUGUUGUUCAUCUGAAAUCAAGAAAGGCAGCAACGGUUUAAGUCUGUUACACAAAAUUUUAGUAAAAAGCUUACGUAGAAAUGUACAAAGACUUAUAGGUUGAAAAUUAGCAAAUGAGGCGACUGUAUCCUUCUUGGGAAUUAAAACAAUAAGCGAUAGGAACACCAGCCCAAAAAUCAUUAAUAGCAUCAACUAAAUCAGAAGAAUGAUGUCCCACCAAAACCAGCAGCCCAAAUGGCUGUUGGCCACCACCAAAGAUUUAAGUCUGGGUGGGAUGGAAGGUUAAGGUUCAAAUCUUGUCUCCCAUCAUUUGUCAUAAUAUGUAGUUUCCUUAAAUCCAUACGGAUGUUUAGUGGAUCCGUUUGAUCCGAUGGUGAUUCAGUUUCUGUCGAUUUUUCGUAGGUCUAGUUGGACCUCCCCUCUUAGAUUAGACUAGAGUAGGAGUAGAAGUAAAUAUAGUAUAGAUGAGUGACGAAUGACCAGAAAAAAAAAAAAAAAAGAAUGAUGUCCCAGCAUGCGUGAAGAAUAAACCAGUGAAACCAAAUCAUCUGGCCUCGCAGCACUUUGACCAUCCAGUUGGAAAAUAGCUUCUUUUAUUUCUUACACUGAAAUUUUCUCUGAAGAAAUAACCGAGAAUACAAUUAAGAAGUCUUUCUUGAGCCGCGCCAUAUCAUGAUUUUGAACAUCUUGAUUAAACAAAUCUUGAAAGAAAGAAAUUGUGACUUGACUAAUUUGUCCUUCAUCUUCUAUCCACUUACCAUCACUCUAUCCAAACUCCAAAGCUUCCAAAUGCGCACACCAUACCUAACUCCAGUCCACGUUUAUUUACCACCCACAGCCGGAAAUUUGUGUUAAUGAAGCAGCCGAGAUAAAUUUGUUAAAAUCUGCUAUUGCUUGUAAAUCCUGAGGCGCAUGGCCAGUAUUCCUCCAAAGAGGAUAUAACAUUAAAGUCCCCCCCCCCCAACUACCCACAGGCGAUCGCCAAUAGAUGAAGUAAUAUCAGACAAACCAGCCUAUAAGCAAUGCCGUUCAGCUCGCGUACACUUUGCAUAAACAAAGGUAUCAAAUGCAGCUUCACUCCAAGAAUAAAAAAUUCAUCCAUCUCCAAGCGGCCACUAGGGUUUAACAAAGGGACAUCAGCUUGUUGAACUAAAUUGGCAUUCUUCGCCUGAUUAACCUUCGAAAUAUAAAAUUUCUGGAUUCCAUGUCGCCGUUCAGAAACCCUUAUUUUGGGGCUUUGAAACCCUCAUCUCUAGAAACUUUUUGUGACUAGAGGACUCAUUAUGGCCAGUACGCGAACAGAACUGACAAAAACUAGCAUAUUUUCAAAUUCAACGAGUUGCCACAAGCUCCAAUUAUCAUCACCAAUCCAAAUUCUUGUCUUUUGCUCCAUCUUAAUAGUGGGCAGCGGAUUCCUAGUGUUCAAAAUUCAAAAUUAAAAGCAGCAAGAAGAACAGAGAGAGAAAUAGUAAAUGCUUAUAGUAAGCAUGAAAGAGAUGAUGAUAGUGUAUUAUAAAUGCUCCCUAAAUUUCCUAUGUUACAAAGAAUUUUUUUUUUACCCUGACUAGACAUCUCAAGAGUUGAAUGAUGGAUAAUCAAGGUUUAACAGGGAAAAUGCCGGUUUUCAUCCCCAAACUUUGGGGUAAGGACACAUUUCGUCCCUCAACUUUUGGACACGACACAUUUGAUGUCUGAAUUAAUAAUUUUUUACCAAUAUCAUCCUCAAACGGCAAUUUAGUCAAUUUUUAACGGAACUGGUCACGUGAAAAUCACAUGACCGUUAAGUAAACUUAAAUCACAUUUUUAACAAAACCUGCCAGUUUCCCAUAAAGAGCUGGUAUGUUAUGGGCAAUUUAUUAUUUUUUUUUAACUUUCACAUAUUUAAUUUAUAUUAAAUACAAAAUACUAGUUUUCCUUUGAGCGCUAUUUAACCAAUUUUUCCUAUAAAGAGUUAGUAUGUUUCCCAUAAAGAGCUGGUACAAAACAUACUACAAAACCUGCAGUUUCCCAUAAAAAUCUGGUAUGUUAUGGGCAAUUUAUUAUUUUUUUUUAACUUUCACAUAUUUAAUUUAUGUUAAAUACAAAACAUACUAGUUUUCCUUUGGGCACUAUUUAACCAAUUUUUCCUAUAAAAAGCUGGUAUGUUUCCCAUAAAGAGUUGGUACAAAACAUACUACAAAACCUGCCAGUUUCCCAUAAAAAGCUGGUAUGUUAUGGGCAAUUUACUAAUUUUUUUUAAUUUUCACAUAUUUAAUUUAUGUUAAAUACAAAACAUACUAGUUCAAUGGGUAAAAAUAUGUUAUGAAUAACUCAAAAUUUAUACUUUUAAUAGUUCAAUGGGUAAAAAUAUGUUAUGAAUAAUUGAAGGGCCAAAUUUUUACUAUUCAAAUAGUUCAAUGGCUGCUCAAAUAAUUUGCUCUUAUAUAAAUAGUAAAAGUAUGCAAAGUAUAUGUAAUUUUUAAAUUUUGAGGGGAGCUUUUUGUAGCUAUUAAAAAUCUCAAGGGAUGUUUGUGAAAGUAUCCCUUUUCAUUUUUCAUGAUGAUUAUUUCUUUUCUUGCCUAUUUUUCAUUUUAUCCUUAUUUUUAGCUUUUUCCCCCUUACGUACGGGACGCAAGUGUUUAUUGAUGGAUGCUUAGUCAAAAUUGCCAAAAGUUGACUGAUUGCAUGCAGGAAACUGGCAGGUUUUGUUAAAAAUGUGAUUUAAGUUUACUUAACGGUCAUGUGAUUUUCACAUGAGAGUUCCGUUAAAAAUUGGCUAAAUUGCCGUUUGAGGAUGACAUUGGUUCAAAUUAUUAAUUCAGCCAUCAAAUGUGUCGUACCCAAAAGUUGAGGGACGAAAUUUGUCCUUAUCCAGAGUUUGGGGAUAACAUAUUGAUUCUAGUUCCUGGUUGGGGUAUUUUGUCUACAUUUAUUGAUUCUACUUGGUUGGCUACCUGAUUGAAAACUGAAACAACAUUUUGAUUUAGUUGUAGUCCAAAUUUUUGAACUACUAUUGCUUGUUUUGUCAGUUUCUUGGGGACAUUUGCUAAUUUCAGUUGGUUAAGUUGUGUAAGACUGUCCAUUGAGAUAUUUGCUGAGAUUUUGAGUGGAAUUGGGUUUAAUUGCUGCCAUACGUGGGGAUAUUUUCUGAUAUUUAUUGAGUUACUGCUGUUUGAUUUAAAUCCUCCCUAUGUAUAUACCAGUGGUACUGGUUGCAUUGUUGCUUACAGUUUCUUGAUCCUUAGUGCUUAAAUUAUUUUUCGAAUCCUGAACUGUGGUUGCUGGAAUUGCCAAUUUCUGUGGUCAAUUGCUAAUUUUAGCAGGUUGAAUUGGGUAUUUAACUGUCCAAUUGGAGACAGUUGUUACGGUUUUGGGUCCACUUGUGUCUAUUUUGUAUAAUUUGUGUCGCGUUGUGGGUAAUUUGCUGCGGCUGUUGGUUAAAUUAAGAGGUGCCUGUUACGCUUAAAUUUGCUUAUUGAAGUGGUUACCUUUACUUGCCUUGCUCAGGAGCAUUUUAUCCUUUUGGUUUCCUUUACUAAGCUCUUUGGAACACUUGUUGCAUUUUGGACUGUCUUGAUUCUGAAUUUGACUACGUUUGGACCAUAGGUGCUCAUUGAUUGCCAUUGCUUUAAGUGUUGGGGUAUUUGUAUGUCCUCUGGGUGGUUGAAUUGUGCCUAUUGUUCAUUGGGUUGGUUUUAAACCAAAAAAAUUGUUAUUACUUUGAAAUCCCUGUUUCCAUUAUCUGUUGGCAAUUGUAGUCCCUUGUGAUUAGAGUGACAUCUAGAGAUCAUGGUAAGGCCAAGAUCCGCUUCUAGGUUUAGGACACCUAGACACUCGCAGCCUCCUCCUACCCCAGGGCUGACGAAUGGCACCAGCUCCAGAUGCGAGUUGAACGACUAGCAACUCGGAUGACCCACAUUGACGUCAACCUGCAUCACAUGUGCAGAAUUUGGCAGCAUUUAUGCCCCAUGCAGGCCUUGAUCCUCAAUUUUCACCUGAACCGCCCCUGUUUUGAUGACUUCAGGGAAGUACCGUUGCCCCUCUCUUUUCUUCUGUUGUUACAUUAUCACAUUGAGGGCAAUGUGUGACUUAGGUGUGGGGGGUCAGUUUGGGUGCUAGUAUUUUUAGUUUUUAGGUUCUAGAGGUUUUUCCUUUGUUUUAGUUUGAUAUUUAUCUCCUUUUUCGUUUAUUUUCUUUUCUUUUUUCUAGUGGUCAGCUCUUCUAUAACUACCAAGUUUUGAUGCUGGAUUGUUGCCUCUAAUUCUGCUAUUGCCAAGUUUUAGUAAUAAAAGGAUAUCAAGUUGAUGUGGUUGAGUUCAGGAAUAUCUCUUUGGUGAAUAGCAAUAAUUGCUUAACUUUUUCCAAUUUUUGGUUAACUUUUCUAGGCAUAGGGAAUGAUUGUUGGCAUUUUUCAUGUGAAUUGGUCCAAUUAUUAAUUUUAGUUCUCCAUGUUUGGAAAUUUGAGGCUGGCUGCUGUUAUUUUUGUGAUAUUUUCUAGUUAUUGUGGUAUGUUAUCAUAAAUAAGAGGUGACUGUACUCCACUAGUUGUUACUACUGAGUAACCGGGGAUCUUCACCUAAAGUGUCGAUUCUCGCGUCAAAAGGUAGUAGUUACUAUGAGUGCGUGGUCCCGUAGCAAUUAGAACUGAGUAACCGGGCUCCUCCAUCUGUCAAAUGUUGGAGUUCGCGUCAAAAGGCUCUAAGGGCUAUAGGGUUUGUUUGGAUUGUGUUUUAUUUCUCCAAUUUUAUCUGCUUACAUCAUCAUUACAAUUUCCAAUACACCUUUUUAUCUUCCCAAUUACCUUUUUAUCUCACACACAUCACAUCACAAAAAAUGCUACAGUAAAAAUAUUCAAAUAAAACACAAUCCAAACAAACCCAGACUAAGUCUUUUGUUAUUCAAAAAAAAAAAAGGAAAAAAAUAAAAUAAAGAUUGUGUUAGUAUGUGAAUAAGUCAGCUUGCCGGUUUGUGAUCUUAAUGUCGAGAUUUUGGUUAAUAGUUGGACCAUUUGCUGAUAAAUGUGAGCAACCAUUCCUUUUUCUUAGAUUAGUUUGCUUUAAAUUGGAGGAGUUGGUGGUUGAGAAGCUAACCGGAGUGAUUUUUCUUGGAUCUUAACUGUGAUGCUUGAUAUAUGUUUUUCUGGGUAUCUUGGCAAUAUGAUAGUUAGAGCAAUAGCCAUUGUCAAAUUUUGGUGUUCAAUUGCUGUUCUUAUGCUUGAGGGCAAGCAUGAUUUAGGUGUGGGGGGAAUUGAUAGGGUGUUAAUUGUUGGUUAUUUUAUUGUUAAUUUUCCCCUUUAUCCUUGUCAAAUAUUGUUUUAAUUAUUAAUAUUUAUUUAUAUUUGGUAUUGGACUCAAUUUCAGGAAGUGAAACAGAAAACUACAAAAAUGAGGGACUUUUUGGAGAUAAUUGGGAUUUCAAACAACCGGGCCCACAUGGUGCUACAAAGAGAUUGCAUUUCCUUUGCUGAUUAGGAGAUUGGAGUCCUACGGGCAAUAGAAAACUAAAAGCAAGGAAUUCGGUAGAGCCCCUUUUGGUUUGAUUCUCAAUUCCAGCGGGGACCACAGGGAUAAGAAACUUUAGUCAUUGUUGGCUUUAAAAAAGGAGACAAACGUACAGAGAACUCUUAUCAAUCAAUAGUUUUAGUUUAGGUUUUUAGCAUAGUUUUAGAUUUCUUUUCUUAGCUCUUUCGCAUGGUUGUUCUCCAUUAAUGGAGGACUAACCUCUUAAUUCUAGUCAAUGGGACAACUAAAGACUUGGUUCAACAAUUACUGUGAGAUCGAAAUUAUUUUAAUCGCUUCCUCAUUUAUUGGUAUUUUGUUUUCCUGUUUUUAAUUGUUUUAGUCCUUAUGUAUGAUUGAUUAGUGCGCAAUAAUUAUUAUUCAUAUAGGCUAUUUUGCUAAAUAGAGGUAAUUGAAUCCGUAAUUGUUCGUUAUCUCUAUCUUAGUAGCAACUGGCGUAAUUGGGUUUAUGUCAGGGGAACAUACGAUCUAGCUUAAACAAACCCUCGUAGCGUGUUUGUUAGUUAGGAUUGGGUCUUUCUAAUUAUUAAUGCAAACCAGAAAUUAAAUCCUACGGUCGUACCUAGGGUUGUUUUUGGGUUAGGGAAGUAGAUAACGGUCGUACCUUGACUAUCGAUAAAUUAAGGAAGGGUUGGUUGUUUAUCGCAUGUAUGACAACUAUAACUGAUCUAUUAAUAAAUGUUGGAACUAUUUUUGCAUCAAUGAUCAGUGCAUGAAUCAUUUCUGAAGUGUACCCUUGGCUAGAACUCUCCUAAUUAUUUCUUUUAAUUAAUUAUUUUCCGCAUUUAAUUUGUUUAGUUGGCAUUCGAUACCAAAACCCCCAUACUCUGGACUCUAGAAGAAACGAAUUAUCCCCAGUCCCUGUGGAUUCGACCCUACUCACCGCUAUAUACAAAAUCUGUAUUUUUCUCGAGUAGGUUUUUAUUAUUGCACAGGUUCGGCACCUGUCAUAGGUCCUUGCAUCUUCUUCCUUAAAUUCUUACAAAGCCUUCUUAUGAAGACACUGAGGAAGAAGCCACAGUUUUACUGCCGAAUUACGUCAUGUCAUUGCAUAAAUUAAAUGCAGGACUUUAGCAGUAACCUUAUGGACCAUCCAUUCAACUCUAGAGCUUUGCAAAUAAAGGUUUCCUUUUUUGGCUUUGUGCGAAAAUUGCCUCUUUUAGAUCAUCAGAUAGCAUAACAGCAGAAUUCCAGGUCGCCACGUAAUCCAGAGCUUGAUCCAAAGUAAGAUCCCUACCUCUCAGCAACACUGCCUUGGUCCCUGUCACAGCAAGAGGAGAUUUUGCAGCUAUUCCCUCAGCUACAGCUCUAACUCCCUCCUCCAUAGCUUCCUUGGAUGCAAAAACCUUGGAAACCAAACCCAUUUCUUUGGCCUCCGAACUUGAAAACCGCCGACCAGUCAACGCCAAUUCCGUAGCAUUUCCGAAUCCAACAACAGCCGGAAGCCUCCGAAGGGUCCCAAGAUCCGACGUGAUGGCCAAGUCCACUUCUUUCACCGCAAAAAAAGCAUCGGCCGAGCAAAACCUUAGGUCGCAGGCUGUAAUGAUAUCAAUCCCCGCACCUACACAGGCACCGUGAACAGCCGUAAUAACAGGCUUCCGGCAACGCUCGAUGGCGGUGAUGGCGUAUUGCAUGAACUUGAUAUCUCGCCUGAGCUUUUCGCGGAUCCGGCCAUGGUCGGCGGAAGGGAGGAUGGAGGAGAUGGAAUUGAGGGCUUGAAGGUCGAUUCCGGAGCAGAAGUGACGGCCGGCAGCGGAAAGGAUGAUGACGGAGACGUCGGGGUUCUGAUCGAGGGAUGAAAGGGCAUGGGGGAAUUCGUGAAGAAGUGAGGUGAGAGAGCGUUAAGGUGAGGGGGACGAUUGAGGCAUAAAUUAAAGGCUCUGGAAGAAUGAGGGGAUGUUGGGAUAAUUUCGAGGGACUUGUACUUUUCAUUUUCUUUCUUGUCUUCCUCCAUUUCUUCCCCUUCUCCUUCUUCAGCCGAUCAGACUAGUGCACAGUUGUUAUGAAAAAAAAUACAGAUAAAAGAAAAAGCGAAGGGUAGGAGUAGGAGUGGAAGUUUGGCGGAUAAAUUCAGGAAUUCUUUUGCAACACAACACCAGUCAACUCCACUCUUCUACCCUUCAUUUUAAGUUAAGUUUAUAAUUGAGAAUAACUAGGAUGUUUACCUCCAAGUUAAGUUAUUGGGGUAUGAGAUACUAGAGUUUAAAAGAAGUAAAUUGAAGAGAAUGAUAAUAAAUAUCUACUUUUGUAAAGUAAAAAUUACUUUAUUAAAAUGUAAUGACAAAUUAUCUUUCUUAAUCCAGUGGACUUAUUGAAUCUAUGAUGUUGCAUUACUUUUAUUACAAACUUUUUUAAAAUUGAAGCCUAAGUACGAAAAAAAAGAAAGAAAAACAAAAGGGACAAUACACAGUUAAAAAAAAUAAAAGAGAAAAACACUAAUAAGCAAGGCAUUGAACAGAGACUACAAAGUGAACGAGAAGAUAGGAAUUAGGAAGGGGAAGAUUUGGGGUAUGUUGAGAUGCUUCAAAAUCUGCUACACUGAUAGUGCAUAGACAAUGCAUUACUUUUUUCUAUCCUUGUACCAUGUCAUAUAUUUCAAUUACUAUACUCUAGAUAGUAAUCCAAUUACCAAAAAAUAAUGGGAGAAAAAAUAUGCAAACAUUGUCUUGAAGAGUUCUUACUAAGAACCUAUAGUUUACUUGAAGGGGAGGGGAAAAAGUAGAGCAGAAUUUUUUUAAUUUCAUGAUCAAGAAAAUACUUCAUAAAGUAUGGCAAAUAGAAAUAAAAUUUCAAAUAGCAUUGAAAAGAAAUAUAAUGAAAUUUGAUUCUUUUAAUCAACAAUCACAAUCUGAGACAACUUUUCCAAAUUCUAAAUUCCUUAAACAAAAGGCUAAUACAUCAAAGUUAAUAUUUUUAUUUGAAUAUAAGAUAUUGAAGCUUCACCAACGAUUUGCACAAGAUUGGAACAAACAGGUUCCGCAUACCUGUACAAAAAAAAAAAAAAUGUACAAGAGACUCGGAGCAUUUAAUGAGUAACCUUCCCGAGAAUUUAACAGCAAAUACUAAAUUCGCAAGUAAAAUCCGAAGAAUAUGACGUAUAAUAUUCAAUAAACAUAAGAAUGUAGCAACUUUCCCGGUAAAAUUCAUAUUAAUUUCUGAAAAACCAGAAGAAUUGGGUUUUUUUCUUUCGUCCGAAAAGUUGCUUUCCGGCCGUUAACUGUGUUUCUAUCUAUUCUACAAAAUACAAACACUGCUCCUCGGUUAAUAACCAUGCACUACUCCUUGGUUAUUACAUCACAACACUGACAAAUUACAAUAACAAUAAAUUGGGUUGUUUUAUUUUUAUAAUUCUAGGUUACACUUUGUAUGUUGUGCAUUUAUCUCUUAUCUUCCUGACGAAAUCAUUUACUAGUUAGAGUUUAGAUAUGUCUUGGUUGAAUUAACAUCAAUGGAGGAAGUUCUGAUUAAAUCAUUUAAUUUUAACAAUUAAAAAAAUGAGAUUUGACAAAAAUAUUUUGACAUAAUUUCAAUAAAUUCUUAUUACUUCUUGCACUUUUUCUUAAAAAAUUGUAUUAGUAUAAUUAUAAUAAGUUGAUUAUUUAUAACUCGAAUGUAGGACUAGUUUUCCAAAAAAAAAUUUUUGAGCAACUUGAGUUUCCAUGCCAAGUAAAACUGAAGUUUUUGUAUUAAUGUUGUUCACAUGCUUUACUAUGCCAAUUUCACAUGUUAUAUGAGUUGAAUUUGUUAGUCAAAAUUGUUCAAAACAAAAUUAAGUAUAUAUGAAUUCUUUGAAUAUGAACUUUCUGUAUUCUUUUUAGUGUUAUGUUUGUUAAUUAUGGGAUGUAAAUAUUCCACAAUAAUUAUUCCUAGUUUGUUGUUGAUUUUUAAAGAGGAAUUAAAAUUUUAUUAGUAGAGGUGAUGAGUUUAUCCUCUUUAUUCUUUUCUUUCACUCUUGUUUGUAGUUUUUAUUUUUUUUUUCUUUUAAUUUCAUUUUAGUUUUUAUUCUUUUAUUUUGAUGUGUAUUUUCUUAGUACUUGUAAUUAUAAAUCUAUUUCAAUAGUAUUAAUAUUAUUGAGCGACCAUGGAUAGUUAAAUAGUUUUGGUUAGGAAGUUUUUCAUAUGAAUUACCAUUAUAAUACAAAUAUAAUGGAAUGUGGUCUUAUAUUGAUAAUUGCCACCAUAAAUGAAAUACAAUAAAUUACAUAACAAAAGAAGGAGGGCAUAAUAGAAAGUACAAAAACUAAGACAAUAUUGUGCUUAUACUCCAAAGGACCAAGACUCACCAUAAUAGUAGUGAUGAUUAUGAUAAUGAUCAUGAUAAUGAUUUGUUACCAGGCUGUCAUAUUUAAAAUGGAAUUUCUGUACAUAAGCAUAAUCAGGAAAGCUUCUUUUUUGUUGUCCUUUAAUUACUGGUUUCAAUUGCUUAUUCUCUCCUUUUGGCAAUUCAUGUAUCCCCAAAAGCAAACUUUAGUUGCUUCAAGAUAAUUACGUUCAAACGAGAAAGAACAAAUUCCAACAGAAUUUUACACAGUUAGUGGCAUCUAGAUGACUUUUCUUAAAACGUUUAGAUGCCAUUUGCCAUGAACAUGUGGAAUGUGCAAAAGAGGGGAAAAGAAUACAGAAUAGGAAAGAGAGGCACGUCACUAAAAUAACUUAUUUAUACUACAUUCUGGACUAUAUAUUAUGAAUCAUUUAUUGAAGAUAGAUGGUGCGAAAACAAUCUGUAACACUACACCAAUCUAAAAAUGGAAAAUCAAAUGCCUAUCUACAUCUAUAAUUAGAGCUGUAAACGAGGCAAAUCGAACCAAGUAUCUCAUAUUUGGGCUCUGUUCGUUAAGCAAUUCGAACAACGUUCGUGUUCAUUCGUUAACUUUCGAAUUUCAAACCUGUGUUCGUGUUUGACUCGUUAACCAAAGUUCAUGUUCGAAUUCGAGUUCGCGUUCGACUCGUUUAACAUAAACGAGCCGUUCGCGAACAUGCUCGAAAAGCUCGAAUACAAAUUAUUUUAAACCUUAAAUAUGCCAUACAAAUCAUUAAUCAUCCUCAAAAACAAUUAAAGCACUAAGUGACUAAAUUAUAUUAGUCAUUAACUAUAUAACUAGCAUUAACAUAAAAACAAUAAAUAAAACAAAGCAAUUUGCCCUCCACAUAUAAAAGUCGAGCCAUAAAAUUAAUCCUAAAAUUUGUCAAAUGGCAAUUAUGUCAAUGUUCAUGAACGUUCGUUAAAACUCACGAACAUCACAUCUGUGUUCGCUCGAUUAUUAAUCGAACAAAAAAAUUCGUUCGAACUCGAUUCGUUUAAGGUUUCGAACGAACCUUUCACGAACACGAACGAGUCGAAACGAACCGAACCAUCGAACAGUUCGAUUUGUUUAACAGCUCUAUCUAUAAUUUACUAUUAAAGAACCCUUAGUGGAGACUAGUUUACCCGGAAGCCUGUUUGGGUAUUUUACUUGGGACCGCUUUUUCUUCUUUUUGCACUCAUGAUAUUACCAUCUCCUUGUCUGUUUUCUACUAAGAUGAAAACUUUGGAAAUCAUGAUCAAGGCUGGCUCUUUGUGGAUGCAUGUAACAAAAUUUCUUGUGACUGAAAAAAAAAGCUUGUUGGUACAAUAUUCUGAAGUGUAGGGUAUCACCAUACUAUCAUUGAAAAAACAUGUUCAUUACACCAUUUCUGUGUGUAAAUUAGAUGUAUGCAUGGUGAUCUUUAUCAGUAUAAUGAUUCAUACUGCAUACAACAAAGUACAAAUGAGUCCCCCUUGUACAGCUAGUUUUAGGUGCUGCAAGUUCUGUGUUAUAAUAGAUAACAUGCUAUAGAGCUCAUGCAUUGCAGCAGCAUACUUCUAUGGGCCAUGUCAUUUAUACCAAGUCAUUGGUCUGUGGAAUCCCAGUGCUCUGUCUAUAUAAGCUCUGCUGGCUUUUAUUAUUUUCUGCAAUAAUUCCUGCAACCUGUGCUACUAAUGACCUUUAUUUCAAUCAGAUGUAGCACGUAGGCACGUAUAUGUAGUAAUGAAAUCCUUGUUCAGUCAUCCUAUGGACCAAAAACGGUCCUCAACAACAAAAAAAUAUUAUUUGAUCUCAGUAGUAAAAAGAAUCUUUAAUACUACUGAUUUUCCUAUAUAUUCCUACCAGUUGUCUCCUUUCAUGUUCUUCUAGUCUGCUCGAUUAUUUUUUUUGAAGCAUUAUUCUGCAAGAAGAAUAAGUCCAUAUUCUUCUGGUUCCUGUUCAACCGGGACAGCAAAACAUUUGAGUGGCUGGCAUCAACUUCCCUACAAGGAAGAAGUUUUACAGGAAAAAUGACAAUAAUAGUAACCUUCUUAGCUCUAUUUAAGGAGUUGGUUGUUAUCUUUAACAAAUCAACAAGCAUAUCAGCCAUCACUUAACUAGUCAAACCAUUGUCCAAGCUCACUCCCUCUCUCUCUCUUAGAUAAGCCAGCCAAAGAUAAUAAUGGCGGAGGUUUUGCUGAGUGCAUCUGUGGAUUUCAUAAUUCACAAGGUAGCUUCAGUUGCAAAUGAAAACAUCAGCUUAUUGUCAGGCUUCAAUGACGACCUGCAAAGGUUGAGAAGAUCAAUCCCCAUAAUACAAUCUCUCUUACUUGAUUCUGAGAGACAGCAACCCGAAAAAGAAACAACAAAACAUUGGCUGAAGAAGUUAGAAGAAAUAGCUUAUGAUGCUGAUAAUGCGUUGGAUGAACUCAACUAUGCGAAUCUUCGACAUCAGAUCGAGGUACGAAAUCAACUAAUGGGAAAGGUACGCUACUUCUUCUCAUUGUCAAAUCCCAUCAUAUUUCGUUUGAAAAUGGGUCGAAAGGUCAAAAACAUCAAUAUGAACAUGAAUCUGAUAAAUGAUGAGGCAAAUAAAUUUGGCCUCAACAGGCUAGGUAGUGCAGACACCUCUCCUUCAGUAUCUAGAGUUCCUUCAAGUAGAAUAGAAACUGACUCCACAAUUGAUGGAAAAGUUAGGGUAAGGCAAAAUGAAGCACGAGAAGUGGUGAGGGUAGUGACCAGGCCAACCAAUGAAGUACUUUCCACAUACGCCAUCGUGGGGAUGGCCGGCCUUGGAAAGACAACAUUGGCUCAGUUAAUUUACAAUGAUCUCAUAAUUGAAAGUCAUUUUGAUAGUAGAAUAUGGGUAUUUGUAGGGGAAAAUUUUGAUGUUACAAGAAUUUUGCAUCUUAUUUUAGAGUCAUUAACACAAAAAGAAAAUGAGGUACGAAGCAGAGAUGCUUUGAUAAAAAUGGUAAAAAGAGAAUUGCAAGUGAAAAGAUACUUGCUUGUCCUUGAUGAUGUAUGGAAUGAGUUCCCUCCAUUGUGGGACGACUUCAUGGCAUCUUUGAUAGGAAUCAACCCAAUGAGUGGAAACUGGAUCAUCGUGACAACUCGAAGCCAACGAAUAGCAUCACUUGUAACAUCACAUCCUUGCCCUCCCUUGGAAAAAUUGUCAGAUGACGAUUGCUGGUCCAUCUUGAAAGUCAAAGCAUUUGCUAAUGGAGUUGUGCCUUCAAAAGAAAUGGAAACUAUAGGAAAGAAGGUAGCACAGAAAUGUCAAGGUUUACCAUUUGCAGCAAGCUUAGUUGGGGGUAUUUUGCGUGGUAAGGGAGUAGAGGAAUGGCAUUCCAUUCAAGAAAGCUUUUCUAAUGAAGUUUUUGAAAAAAACAUGGCUUUGCAACUACUAGGUUUGAGUUUUAAUCAACUACCCUCCCCGUCUUUGAAAAAAUGUUUUGCCUACUGUUCAAUUUUUGCCAAGGGCUCUGAAAUUGAAAGAGAACAAGUAGUGCAGCUUUGGAUGGCAGAAGGUUAUCUUGAACCAAACAAGGGAACUGACAUGGAGGACAUGGGGAAUAAGUUCUUUAACUUAUUGUUGCAGAGUUCUUUAUUUCAGGAUGUGAAGAAGGAUGUUUACAACAAUGUAACAUGUUGUAAGAUGCAUGACCUUGUACAUGAAGUUCUAUGUCAGGUCUCAAGUUCAGAAACCAAAAGAAUGGACGAGACAGCUUUGGAUGAUAUACCUCAAGUUCAUCACCUUGCACUAAAUUCAUGCAAGGUAGAAAGAUCAAAGACCAUUGAGGAGAAAGCAAAAUAUGUGCGUACCUUGUUCUUGAAAGGUAUAGCAUAUGACAAAACGUUUCAGGUUUUCAGAAGCCUGCAUGUUCUAAAUCUAGAUGGCGCAGGGAUUGAAGCACUGCCAAUCUCAAUUGGCGUUCUGUUACAUCUGAGGUUAGUUGAUGUAUCACAUACCAAAGUAAAGGUUUUGCCAGAUUCCGUUUGCAGGCUCUACAAUUUGCAAACCUUAAGGACCACUGGGUGCGAUUCUCUUAAGAGGCUUCCUAACAAAAUGAGGAAUUUGAUUAGCUUGAGGCAUCUCCAUUAUUACAAGGAUGAAAAUGUUAAGAUGCCACUUCAAAUAGGAAAGCUAACUAGUCUUCGCACAUUAGAGUUCUUUAAUGUGUGUCCAGAGAGGGGUCGGGGAAUUGAAGAGCUGGGAAGUUUAAAGAAUCUUGGGGGUAAGCUAGAGAUACGUAAUCUUGAACAUGUUAACAGCAAGGAGGAAGCUAAGAGGGCAGACCUAUCUGGAAAGAGAAAUAUACGUGAAUUGGAAUUUCUGUGGAAGUGGAACUAUGAUUGGGAAAUUGACAACAAUAUUGGGGGGGAUAUCUUGGAAGGCCUACAGCCUCAUCCGAAUUUGAAAAUCCUUACAAUCAAGAACUUCAUGGAUGAGUUUCCACCUUGGGUAAGGAGAAUAGCUUCACUAGGAUUUGAUAAUGUUGUCCAAAUAAAAUUCUUAGGCUGCAAAAGAUGCAGAGAAAUUCCAUCACUGGGACAACUGCCAAAUCUCCAAUAUCUUGAAUUGAAUGGAUUUGAUAAUGUAACACACAUUGGGCCUUCAUUCUAUUUUACUAAUAAU
rnacentral:lncRNA from 1 species